rnacentral:lncRNA from 1 species
UCUUCCUUUCUAAGUCUGGCCUUCUCUGCACAGCCACGCAAUAACCACAACCCCUUCUCUCCGACUAUAUAACCUCCCCCUCCACCUGAACCCAUUCCCAUCUCUCUCUCCCUCUCUCUAGGAAUCUGUGGAGAUCAUCGUCACAGUUGAUAUUUUCUUCUCUUCAACGACGAUGGAGGCUGCUCUUAAGCUCAGGCUCUUCGCCCUGGCCAUGGUGGUCGUCGUCGUGGCCUCUUCCUUGGUCGAGAAAGCCGCCGCUGCUGACGCACCCGCCCCCACCCCUACCUCCGGCGCCACUACCACCGCCCUCGCCGCACCUGCUGCCGCCCUUGCCUCGUUCUCCGCCCUCCUCUUCGGAUGCUUCCUCUACUAAGCCACAACGUCAUUGUUUCGUCACCUUGUUUCCUUUCCUUUGUUGUGAUUUCUUCAUGUAGUCAUUCUCUUCUGUCAUGGUGUCUAUGAAGAGAGAGGAAGAGAGAGGAAUAUGCAUGCAUCGACGUAUGCAUACGGCGGUGGUGGUGGUGGUGGUAGUGGAUAUGUAAUCUUCUCUUGGUGUUCAUUCAUUUAUGUUAAUGUGAUUCUUUCCCUCUUCUUUUGUCAGAAGUAAAUGAUCUAUGCUACCAUCUAAGCUUCUAAGCUUCUCAAAAAGGUUAUGGCUGCAGAACAAUUGCCGAUCAAACGCCAUUAAUUGCGUUAUGCUUUGUGCUUUGCCAAGAAGAGAGCAAUCAUCAGUUGAAGAAACUGGUGAUCCCUUUGCUCAUCAUGGCUUGUAGUUGAUUCAUUCAAUGCAUGAAGACAACAAUGAGUUGGCAAUGCUGGCUCAACAUGGCCUUGCUGUUCGCAUGGCUUCUCAGGUUCCACAGGGUCCCAUGCCAUCAAUUAUAGCAUGCUUGUUGCUCCUCCUCUAUAAUGAGUGCCCUCAAUCAAUGUUCGAGGUCGAUAGGAAUUAGAACCUUUACCUUUUGUUGGUUUCAUGUGGAACUACAUAAAGAGUUGUAGUGAUGGGGGAAAUAUCACUUGUCAACCAUAUAUACCAUUCAUUUAUUUGCUAAAUGUUCAUUUCUAAAAGCUUAAAAACUUAGUUUAUAAGUUCGUCGGGUCUCUCUAUACUUGAAGAUAAUUAUUGGUGCUCACAUCGCUCAGUACAACCAUCGCUCAUUCUAAUUGGUAGUUGAGACUUUAACUUAUAUAGGCACCCUUUUAAAAUGUAAUAUGGUGUAAAAAAAAUUAGGUUUUGAUAAAUAUUAAAAAUUAAGUUUUCAGUAAUCUUAAGUAUAUACUUAAGCUAUUAAGGAAAGGAUCCAAUUUAUAUUAAUUUUUUUACACCCUCAGUUGUCUACAAGCUGGAUUUUUUUAAUAAAAAAUAGAAAAAAAUAAUUAUGUUAAAUAAUAUACAUGGCAUUGAUAUUAUUUAUGCAAUAAUACACUAAUAAAUUCGGAUGUCUCAACAGAGACCACAAGUUGGAUUAGACUUGGCAAAUAAAAUUGAAUAAAAAUAAAUGAUGUGUAAAAUAAAAAUAAACGUAUACAUAUAUUGAUGUCAUGAUCUGCCUAUGGUAUCAUGAUAAAUAUUUUAAUUUAGUCACCAUUAAUCCUUAAAUUAUUAGGAAAUGACUCAUGAAUAUAAUCAAAUGAGUAGGUAUUUCAAGUAUAUGCCUUUAGAAUUUAAAAUGAUGAUGUAUACCACCAAGUAUUUAUUUUAAAGAGAUAUGCAUGUAUUUGAAAAGGAGUGAAAUAUUAAUAUGAUUUUGAAACUUCUGGAUUUCAGAUAUGAAAGAACACAACAUAUAUUGUUCAUAGAGUAGGGUUCAUUGCAUGUACAACCAAAAACUUGAUCUAAGUUUUAGUAAAAAUUGAUAUUUCAUGUAGGUGGGUAUGUAUAAAACCUCUCUCUCUCUCUCUCUCUCUCUCUCUCUCUCUCUCUCUCUCUCAUACACACAUACAUUCUAUAGACAUGAUGGAAUACAAGGAUCACUGAGCAUGAAUCUUUGAUGCAGAUCGAAUGCAUAUAAACAAGGGAUUCAGUGUCACUGGCAAGUUGACAAGGACAUGGAAGCUACUCUUCUAGCUAUAUGAAAAUGACAAUACUGCAAUUAUCAGCCUUCCUCUCUCAUGGUCAGUAUCAAUACACAUCUCUCAUAACUGGCUCAGCAAAGAUAUCUUUCCCCCUUAUUUUUCUUGAUUCUUUUUCUUGGUUGUUUGCAUGGCAUUUAGUCUUCCAUGCCUGACCAGAGUGGAUCUGUGGUCGACCUUUUCCUGACAAUUUGGACCUUCAAAUCACCUCCUUGUCAACAUCACUACCUCCGAUUUGCUCAAACAAUUACAGAAUAGGGUAAUAAAUUAGUGAUGAUUGAGUUGUUCUCUGUAUCAUCAAACAUUUCUCUGUUUCAGUUCCUUUGUGCAGAAUAAGCGAAGCAGAGAGUGUGUGUUGACAGUGUGAGAGAGGGAAACAUGAAACCAAGCUUUAGGCAACCACAGAAAGAAGCUGAAACGAGCACUGUAUUCGGCUGUAAUUUGAAGAGCAAGUAGAAUUAUUGCCAUGCAAGGCAGCUUUACAACGUGAUCUUAUGGCAUGCAUUUCCACAAACACAUGUAAUCUAUAGCAUUUAUUGUCGAGAAGAGUGAUCGAUCAAGCACUUGCAAUGUAUCCUCCAAAUGAGAUGUGUGCCCUCGUCAUGGGAGCUCCCCUCGCGGCUGACAGUGCCUGGUUUAGCCUUGCUGCCUGUUGCACAACCUCCUUCAUUCUCUGCAAUCACAUCACACAAGAGGAACUUAGGAUGGGAUUAGAUUAUCUUAAUUGAUCGAUGAGCAGUACCUUAUCGUGGGUGUAGAUCUUGAACUGGAUCUUAGGUUUCUGAUGCUGUCGGCAGCCAAGGAUGAAGAUGCAGAUAGUAGCAGCAGCAGCUGCUGCUGCUGAUGCUCCCAUGGCGCAGAAGGCUCCAAUACCUGUCGAUCUCCAAUUCCCCGGAGGAGGAAACCCGAAGCCUUUGAUCUCGGAUCCUGCAUGAUCUUUCUCUUCUCCCUCUUCCCUGACUUGCGAUUCCACGUCUGGUGUGACGACGCCGAUGUCUUUGAAUCCUUUGGCUUCAGCAUCAUCAUCUGAGUUAUUCUCCAUGGUUGGCUCUGAGUUCUGCUGCUGCUCCAAGAAAGAUUGUGAUGGGCAGAUGAAGUAAUUGGCAUCAAGUGUGAGCUCCUUGAGCACCAAAUCAUUUUGACUGCCAUGGCUGAAGUCCAGCAAGCUCUUGUCAUCAGGGAGGAACUCCCAGUCAUCGAGAUCCCUCUCCAGGCAAGAUUUCUCCAUGUGAUCAGAAUUAGGGACGACUGUGUGUGUGUGUAUGAGAGAGAGAGAGAAGAGAGAAGAGAGAGAGAGAGAGGACUUAUCCUUCCACCUGCCAAGACUUUUCCUAUAAAUCUAAUUCCCAACUUUUGUUUGACGACUUGCAGAGGAGGAAUGAGUUCUAAUUCCUCGAACAGUUCUUGUGCAUGAUUGGGCUGUCUGCCAGUCUCUGUCUUGGUCUCUCUCGCUCUCUCUGCUUCACACAUUAAUUCCAAUAUGCACAGUUAAGGUUUGGGUUCGUUCGAGCGUCACGAGUUGGUUGCGGCAAGGCGAUUCGAAAUGGGUGCGCCACAUGAACCGGGCGACUCGGGCGUGCGGCUCAAUUAAAUCAGGGAUUGGGUUCCGUUGAGCUCGAAGUAGUUGAUUGGGCUGAACCAUUUCAGCCAACUAAAUCCUUCCCCAUGACGCGAACCGGAAAGGACGAACCAUUGCUGCCCCUCACCCGCACGAACUGUCGCUGCCCGAGCCGCUCUCCUCCCUGUCGAGCAGCUGCUCACCCCUCCGGCGGUACCUCUCUCUCUCUCUCUCCCUACUUCCCUUCACUCUUCUCCCUUUUCCACCAGCAGCCGCCGCCCUCUCUGCCUCAGGCAGCCCUUUGGCGCCUCCGUUCUCUCUUCCCCAGCCGCCGCCAUUGUUGAUGCACCGAUGCCUUUUUUUGCUGAUGUGAUGCCAUUGGGUGCAAAUGUCACGUUUAUAUGAAAAUUAGGAAGAUUUCGACACACUUCAAAAUAAAACAUGAUGAAAAUUCUAAGUUUUUUUAAUCCAAAUAUUUUAGUAGCCUUAUAAUAUUUGUGACAAUUUACUGUGAGGGAACGAAAAUAAAAAAAAAGAUAAUAUGUUAUUUUAUUGUAAUAGUUGGAAAUUCGGCUUAGCUCAGAUUAGAUUUCAAUGGAAAACCUAUUUUCUUAAAAGGAUUUAUAUUUUUAUGUCAAAGAAAGAAACCCUCUUUGGGGAAUAUAGGAAUGUAAGCCCUAAUUUAUAUAUUAUAUUUGCCAAAUAUGAAGCUUUUCCCAUGAAAUUUUAAUCUUGCGUCGGAAAUGAUAUUGUAUUUGUCAAUGCAUGAUGGAGUGGGGACAGAACUGGAAUUUACGUAUAGGCUCCACUCUGCCUCGAUGGGCCGGGCUUGAAAUAAAAGCCCAUUAAGACAAUGCUACGAUUGGCCCAUUACAUGCUCCUCUAGGGUUUCGCUUCCCUCCCCUGCGGUCGGUUUCGCUUCUGGAUAUCUUAGCACGGGCGACAGCGCAGAGAGGGGUGUUUGGUUCCUUUUCCUCGAGCUCGUCUCGGUAGGUUGUCAUCCUUCCCGAUCACAUUACUCUUCUUGGCUUCUCUUUGAUUGGUUGCUGCGAUGUUUUUGAGUUUUGGCGAUAUGCAAUUGUUCUUUCUUUCGCGUUUCUUGGUCUUUCAUCGUCUUCAUCAGAUCAAUUUGUACAGCAGAUAAUACUUGCGUUCCCGUCAUUCUUUAAAGGUUUAGUUGUUUGCUUGCAACUUAGAAGUAGGUCAUCUAAUGCCAUGCAGUACUAAUGUGGAAGUUGCCUUUGUGCGUGCGUGAGAGAGAGAGAGAGCAGUCCGCGUUGUAGGACACGAAGGCCACAAGAACAUGUCAAUAUAAAACCCAUUUGUCUGCUAAAGUCCACAGCCUAAAAGAGGGGAAUCAGCCACCAUAGCAGUUGGAAAAAUGUACUGCUUUCAUUAGAUGGGGGUUGAACCUUAGACCUCCAGUGAUGGAUGAGAGAUGCUAUACCAUUCAAGGAUAAGAGAUACUGGAGAGGUUACUACUGUUGUUAGGAUUGUCAUUUAUUUUUAAUACAUAAUGAAAAGAAAAUUUUGUGAAACCGAAUGGCUCAAGUUUGAGCCCAACAAUCUAUUCUAUGUUUUCUUCACAAUAAUGCAUUUGUUUUGCUCGUAGUGGCAGCCAUAGUAAAGAUUGAAGAAUCAAGUUUGAGAUCAACAAUGCAUUUCCUGCAAGAUAACGGAAUUGUAUACCCAUCAAAAUUUUGUUGUAGAAUCUUUUACAAGUUCCUCCAAGGAAAAUUCUAACUUGGCUUUGUUCUAAAAUGCAUGUUUUUUUGUAUAACUCAGUUUAAUUGUGUCUAUGAUGGUUCACUUAACUUAAGAUUUUCUUGCUACAUAUAUGGUUCCUUAUGUUAUUUGCAUGAUGCAAAAAAAUUGUAAGAAAUAUUGAAAAAGAAUUGUUGAUGCGCUGAUGCAUUUUUUUGCUGAUGCGAUGUUAUUGGGUGCAAAUGUGGUUACCUGUGUCAUUUUUUGUUCAAUAUGUCAUGUUUAUAGAUCAGUCUUGUGAUAUGCAGGAAUAAAUUGACUCCUGAGUUGCAUACAAGAUGAGAUUAGAAAAGUGUUGGUUCUGUUCCUCAACCAUUUAUCCAGGCCAUGGAAUUCAGUUUGUUCGAAAUGAUGCAAAGGUAAGGCCAUGUUUUCCGAAUUAAUUCAUCUGGAAGACUGGUUUCCAGGCUUCUUCAAAAGAAAGGUGUUAUAAUAUAAAAUUGGGAGACUUGUACCAUUUGAAAAUAUGAUUGUUACUCAUAGUACUACAAACUUGGUUGUUUGUGUGACUCUUGUGCUUUAAGCUCCUUCACUAUUAUCUGACAGACUUGUACUAAUCCUUUAUAUGUCAUAAAUCUUAACCCUAUUAUGAUAUUAUUUUAAUUGCAUGUUAUUUCAGUUUGCUCUCUUCGUUCAUCUAUAUCUAAAUUGGUUAUAUCCAUCUUUCAUUAUGCAGAUGUUGUUUUGAUCUACAAAUCAUGCUUUCAUGAUGAAAUCAAAAUGGCCCUAAAUGGUCCUAGUUCAUUACUUGGAUUAUGAUUUCAUAUGAUUGUAACAGAUAAGUCUUUAUUGUUGGUGAGAGAAUGCCAUAGAUUUCAAGAUUGAACUUGAUUAUUUUCUUUUAUGUACACACACACACACACACACACACACGUGUUCUCAUUCUUUUGUUCAUUAAAUUUUGAUCUCUUGUUUCCUUUUGUUUUUUAUAUUUUCUGAAUUGCUUGAGCUUUAGAAAGGACAAGGAGAAAGGAACCCAAUGAUCCACAAUUUGAUUCAUGAUCUGAUAUAAUCUUUGUUAGGUGUAAUGCAUUCAUAUUUUUCUGUUCAUCAAGUGUUUGGCUCUUAUUUACUAUUAUUUUCAUGUUUUCUCAAUUGUUUGAGCUUUAGAAAGCACAAGAAGAAAAGAAUCUAUCUCUCAUGAACCCUCUUAGUGAUUCUUAUCUGAAGUAAAGUAGUCUUUUUCUUAGUUUUUAUGAUUUUUUUAGAAUUCUAAAUUAUUUUCAUGGAUUCCACUGAUCUGAUUCAUUAAUCAGACUGAUACUGAUCGUUCUGCCAUCGUAAGAUCUCAAUCCCUAUUUUGAGCGAUGGGCUUCUUACAGAAUUCUAGCAUGCAUUAUGGUCUUUUUAGCUUACCAGCAGUCAACAAGAUGCCAUGGAAACAGGUGUAGUCCAGUGCUUAUUGGAUGAACAUGCCUCAUUCAGUUUUAUGAAAAUAGAUGCUAUACAAAGAAUUUACUUUAAAACCCAGUCAAAUGAAGGCAUUAUGUUCAGUUUCAUCAAAAUAGAUGCUGUACCAUAUGUCAAGAUGAGAUUGGGGUUGAUUUUGAUCAGAUCUGUGUUAAAGAAAAACUGAUCUUGAUGUCCCAACAGAUUGACAUAAGUCAAUCCGUAAGUGCACGAGUUCCAAUAUGAAAACCUGAUUCAUUUGGUUUGAUUUGGUUAGUCUUUCAUGUUUUCCAAUGUUUGGACUCAUGACAGUAGUACAGUGGUGAAAAAAAACCCCAUUGGAGAAGAAUGAAAUAGAACAUGAAACUGUGGGCUCCUGUGUAGUGGGAGGAGAUUUUAUGAUGAGAUAAUAUCUAAACAUUCUAUGUUUUAGAUGAUCAGAUUGCGUCAUAAGUAUAACGGAUGGUUGUUGACUGGCAUCUGAUCCAAUUAUGAAUUAGACAAUCAGAAUAGUUUAAUUGGAUUGUACUGAUAAACAAUCAGAUUAAGAUUUGUUCCAAUAAACAGUUCAAAUUUGUUGAGAUAGCAUCAUAUCUGAUCCAUUGAAAGACAUCUUUGGGGAACUAUAUGAAGUAAAAGCUACAUAGGAACUUAGAGCCAACAUUCUUCAUUUUGUAUGCCAAGUUGUGCAGAAUAGCUUAAGCCUAUGGCUCCGCUGCUUCUGAUGAUUUAUAUUAUCAAGGUUCAGUUAUGUAUACAUACAGUUUGUAUGUCAGCCAUGGUUUGUGAAGUCUAAUGCGCAUGAAAACAUUAUUAGCCUAUAAUGUUGUUUGCUAGUUCCUAUUGUCAUCGAUGAAAGUUCUUUUGCAGAUAUUCCGAUUCUGCCGAUCAAAAUGCCAUAAGAAUUUCAAAAUGAAGAGAAAUCCUCGCAAGGUGAAAUGGACAAAGGCGUAUAGGCGAUUACAUGGGAAGGAUAUGACUCAGGUUAGAAAUGCUAGUGUGAUACUUUUUUCUGUGUUUCUUUGUUUAAGUUGCUGAAAUUGCAUGACACGAUGACUAUCUAAUGACUGCUAUCCCUGUUAAGGACUCGACAUUUGAGUUUGAAAGGAAGCGUAACAGGCCUGAAAGAUAUGAUAGGAAUGUCACAGAGAUGACGCUGAAGGCUAUAAAGAAGAUUGACAAGAUCAGAGUGACCAGGGAGGCUCAACACCACAAAAUGAGGUUGGUUUCCGUUACGAGUGGUAUCCCAUUUUCUUCAAUUUGCAAUUUAUAUUCUGAUAUGCCAUACUCAUAUAUCUCACAGGAUGAAGGGUAAUAAAGCAAUCGAGCAAGAGGCGGCAAUUAAGGAGUUGGAGAACAGUAUUAAUUUGGUCAAAGCACCUGCUGCCCUGCAGCAGGGAUCAGAAAUUACUCUUCCAAAGAUCAAAGUCAAGGUUUCUCAAUCACAAGAUGUGGGAGAGCGAAUGGAAGAAUAAUGGUAAUCUGGACAUUCAUCCAUCCUCCAAUUUAAAAGUGCCAUAUUAAGUUUUUGUUUUCUUUUGUGUGUUUGCACAGUUUAUGAGUGGGUGGUUCCUUGGAACAUUCUUCUACUGAAAGAUGGAUGGAUGCUUUGCCAUGGAUGUAGCUGAAAUAGUAGUUGGGAGAACAACAUUUUGUGCUUAAUUGUCUUGGUUGGUAAUGGAUGGUUUUUUUUUUUUUGUUUUAGUGGACACGUUAUUUGAUCACAUUAACAGAAAGCUUCUGAUGCAGCUCAAAAAGAACAUGGAAUGGUUGCAAUCUUCGCAUUUCGUGAUUGAUUGAUAUUACUAGUGUUGUUGUCAUCGAGCGUUUCCCGCCCCGACGAGGUGAGUCGAGUGCCUCAGAAUUGGUCCGAGAGGGCAAAUUGAAGCAGGUGUGGUUUGGAGGAUUGAUUGAUUGGGCUCACCCCAUGCGUGCGAGCCCUAUCGACACCACCACCUUGUGUCGCGCGAUUCGACAUGUGGUGGCCCUUAGGCACGUUGUUGCAUAUACCUUUUGCAACCGAGAAGAAACCUAACCUAAACUGUGAUCAAUUCAUCUGCAUGGCCCUUAGCCCUUGGGCUCGUGGGGGCCCGUCCGACGUUACCUUCUCCCCUCUCAUGAGGGGCAGAACCCUCCCUCCUCAUCCUCUUUUUUUACUCCAUCCUAUUUUUUUUUUAAUAUAAUAAUAAUAAUAAUAAUAUUUCUAUUUAAUUAUAAUUUUUAUAUAAUUUUAAUAUUUAUGAAUAUUUUGCUUGUACUCAAAGCGACAACUUAGCGCCUCCAGCCUAUCCCUACCCUCUUUCUCCUCCAUCGUUGUCCUCUAUCAAGCCUGCCUCCCAACAGUCUCACCCUCCCCCCUCUCUACUCGGUGCUUCUUCCGUCGACCAAUUUGUGUGUUGAACGGAUCUAUUUGAAAAAGUAUAUAUAUAUAUAUAUANNNNNNNNNNNNNNNNNNNNAUAUAUAUAUGCUCGAGCGAGAGCACCUAACGCCUAUGCCUAUAACGAUCAUAAGCACAUGUAACUGACAGCAUGUAUCGCUGCUUUAUUAUCAUCUGCUAAAAAGGUCUUGCAAUCUUAUUUCUUGAAUUCAUCUGCAUUGCACAUGAAACCUUGUAAGCUCAAUUCUCAAAAGGUGAGUAUCGUGAUCUUGCUCCUGCAUAAUUGGAUCCGUGGGAUGUCAGUGUGUUUCACUUCACCACAGCGUCGUAAUCAAAUUGAUAUCAUUCAAGCUAAGUCGGAUAAUUAACUCAGGUGUCAUAUUCUCUACCACCUACCCCCCACCCAGCACUCCUGGGAAUCUAUCUGAUGAACGAGAGAGAACUGUUAAUCGAACACUGUGUAAGAAGACUUUAGAAGCUUCCUAUGGUAGGAUAGGAGGAAGAAAGAAGCUUUACGGGAAGGGAUAACAAUAAUGUGGACUUCUUUUUGUGUUUUUAUUCGAACCAUAAACAACUUUAGGGACUUAAUAUCUAAUGCCACACUUUUAUUGUUCCUGUGGCAAUCACAAGAACUCGAAACGGCCCAAAGUUGCAGUCACAAACAAUUUAGUGAAGUCUAGUACAGGACAAAUCUUUUGCGGCAUCUAUUGCCAGUUAUCAAUCAGGAGACCCUGUCGUUUGACACAGCUAAGAAUCCACCAGUCGAAAGUUUUGAGUCAGGAACUCGUCUAUCAUUUAACUCAACAAUAAAAGUUUUUGUGGCAUGAAAUGGAAGUAGUGCAGAGUGACUAAAAAUGAUAUCAGUGGUGUGUCAUCUACAGAAGAUUAGUGAUACCAGGGAUAGCAUAUUACCACAAUAAGACUGUCUUUUGACACAAAGCUAAGAAUCUACAAGUAAAAAGUAAGGCCAAUGUUCUUCAUGAAUCAAAUUCCAACAAAGUUUUACCAGUCAGGAAGAACUCAUUAAUGUCUAUAACAUUUGUCCCACAACAACAAAAGUAUUUGUGGCUUGAAAUAGCAGUGUAGUGCAGAGUGGCGAAUACUAGUUGUAUGUCAACUACAGAAGAUCACUGAUGCUAGGAUAGCAUAUUACCAUACCAGUUAUGUACUCAAUGCCCCUUCAGGUUUCGUUUAAUGGAACCUCUGGUUUUGGAAGAGUCCGAGCGUGGCUGAGACCUCAUCCUUCCUGAGUCAUGUGGUCGCUCAGUUGAUGGAAGCACCCAUCCUCUUGUGUGCUUUUGACUGCUGUUGUUACCACUCCCUACACGACCACACAUGGAUAUAGAGUUAAACAUCAUUGGGUUAAUAUGGCAGAGCAAUUAAGCCAUGCAAAAACAAACUAAAAGAUUAUUAGGCUUUUCUGUUAAAAAAGAAACAGUCACAAAGAAAGGAGUCAAUUUCAAAGGGUCAGUAUGACUGAUGCAUUAAUCAAGGUUGACAAAAGCAAAAUCCUAAAAGGAAUAAGUUGUUUGCAACCAAAGAGCCCACAAGUAGCAGUGGCCAACAAAUGCAUAGGCCACAGAAAAUUGUUAUAAAUGAGGUUGUUUGGAUUCUGCAUAUAUAGUUGCUCUUUAACUAAAGAACAGGAAUGGCAACUGGUCUUCAAAGGCAUAGAAGCAAGCAGAAGUUGUGCAAACUGUAAAGGAGGUAAGAAGCAACACGAGGUAAUGAGUGAGAGGAGAGAAAUAUCAAAAUACAAACUUUACCUUAACCCUAAAAAUGUGACAUGUAGUAUUUUGAAUUGUAAGUCUGUAUGAGGGUUUAGUUUCAUAUGCACAUGUUGCAAGUGACUUAGAGACAAGCAAAUGCUUGCAAAUGUAUUAACUACCAGAAGAAAAACUUACAGGCAGUUCACUUGCAGGGAACCAAACACCCCGUAGUGAAUGCUUAAAGUGAGAGACUUAAAAAAGGCACACAUAAGUGAAGCAAGGUGUACUUAUUUUCAAGCAUCAAAGAAAAAGGAAGAGCAAUUCUAGAGUCCACGUAUUCCAAAAUCCAGUCCAUGGUCAAGCAAGAAACAACUGGUGGAUAUUGAUGGCCAGGCAAGCGGUAGCAAUGGCUGUCACCAUGCUACUGCUUUUGCCAAGCAAGAUGAGCAGCUUUUGCCACCAAGCCAAGAAAGGAGCAGCCACUGCUUCAGUUGACCACUGCAGUUGCCAGCAUCCCAAGUGACACUAAUCUAGCAUCCUGAAAGGUGGGAGGAAAAAGAAGAGAAAUAGGAACAAUUAAUAAAAAUUUUGCUCAUCAUUGUAACCCAUCCACAGAAUAUCAACUGGCCACCUUUGGAACCAGCAGAUCAUGGAUUGCCAAUUAUUUUCUCCUGAUACUGAAUUACGACCUUGUUGUUGUUGUUGUUAUUGUACACAGGAUACUGUCAAUUUUGAAACAGGAAUUGAUGUAUGGGUUCACAGAUGGGUCAACCAGGGGCAUUAAGUGUACAGUGGUUGCUUGAUACUGUUAUGAAUGUACAGUUGCAACGGCUUUGCCUAGAUGCAUUAGAAGAGGCUUUGGCUCACAUUAAACUCACCCAAGUGCAUAGGUGAGCCAAGCAUAUGCCUGAUUUAACACAGGUAUAUCAUGUUAAUCCUGAACCAACUCAACAGACAGCGCCCUUGCUAAAACCUUUGCAGAACAAAGAUUUCAUCGUGAAGCCAUUCAAAUUCUAAGCAUAAGAAAAUCAUUGUAUUAGUCACAGUGAUGAAAAAGAUCAUUUUAUCAAAUAUUUUAUUGACACUUCUUUUUGGUGUUUUGUAUUGACAAUCACCUACCAGUCGACCACCAAAACCAUACUGUCGAAUAAUAGUGCAUGCGGCCACCACCAAUCCAUUAUCAAACAGAAGCUGAGUAGGAUCUUACAACAUACUGCAUAGACUAUUCUAUGCACCACAUCAGAGGCCAUCAUAACCCUUAAAAGCAACCAAAUUUCAACUAAAUUAAGUUCUUCGGUGAAAAUAUACAGGAUAAUAUAUUCUCUUAGGAAAAUUUCCAAGUUCAUCCUGGAAACAAAUUAGAGGAACAUUGGUAUUCUCUUCAUCCAGCUUUUGUGCAUUUGAGUGCAGCAUGCUUUUAUGAUAAUGAAGUAACUCAUACUACAAGAGAAAGUAUAAAAUGUCAUUGAGAACUAAAAUUAAAAGAAAGGAGCAAUGUAAAAACGUGCAUCAUCUGACAUUUCACUCGUUCUUGAAAAUUCUUCACUUGUACAAAAGAUUUUGCUGAUUGACUAACCUAGUUCAUCAUGGAAACAAAGUAGAGAAGCCUUGGGUUUUUUUUUCCAAUAGAUUCUAUGCAAUUGAGUGCAGGAAAGCUACUGUGAUACUGGAGCAACUCAUAUUUGGCCAAUUGACAUUGACUAGAGCAAGAACAUUACAAUUGAAAAGUAUGGACAAAUGUCAUUGAACACAUUACAUACUAGUUUUCGAAGAUCUUCACUAGUCCGUAGGUUUUAUCUUAUGUCUAAUCUCUUAAUUUACUACCUAUCUAGAGCAGAACCAAUAUUCAUCAAAAUCCAAUGGGAUUUCAAAUUUUAUACUGCUCCACUAGCAUUCCUUCCUAUUUGGAACUCCCAAUUAACGUGACCACAUGCACAUAGACAUGGAAGUAUGGUGCUGAUAUUAUGUGAACAAGACUUAAGAGAAAAAGUUUAACGUUACAGUAAAACCGAUCAUAAGAAAGGAACUUCUCUACCCUCAGAAUUAGACAAUCUACAACAACCCCAAUGCACCAUGGGCAUUGCUAAACUACCAUGAAGAUUAAAAUUUUCUAUGUAACAUGCCCUAGCUAAUUUAACAAUCUCAUCAAAAAUUGAAAAUACUAUUUUAACAAUGUUACUUUCGUAUAGGGCAUGCCAUUCUAUUAGGGAGAGGUAUACAGCUACACAAAGAUGCAUGACAAAAAACCUUUUUACAAAUUAUAUUUUUAGAAAGUACGAAGAUCAACCUAAACUAGUAUGUCUUGAUGCAACAUAGUGACUUUUCAUUUGAACUUCAUUCAACUAGCCCCCUAGAAUUUGGUGUCUCUUGUUAAACCUCUGCAUUUCAUUUUUUUUUCCUUUUGUUCUUCCUCUUCCAGAACUACUAUCAACUCCUCUUCAUCACUUUAUAUGGUGUCUUCCUUGCACUUCUCCUCGACAUAGGCUAAUACUGCUAUUGUUGUCUUCAUCUAUUUCUAUUAUAAUUUUGACUAUUAUUGUGUUAUCCAUGAUGUCAAUAAAAAGUUAACUAUAUAUCCAACACAUUUAGAAUGUUCUAUCGAAACAUAAAAGAAACCCAUAUAACUAGAAACCCAAAGAGCUAAGGGAUGAUAGGGCAAUAUAGCAUAUGAGGCUCUUACCGAUCUGGGCCCAAGAGGAUCACCCUUGCAAGCAAAGAUGUUGUUUCUAUAACUCUAAAUAUUGGGCACCAAGUCCUCGAAAGGUGCAAUUUUACAAUAGUGCUAAGGCUCAUUAACGCAUGGAGACAAACGGCUAUUGCCCAAUAAUAUCAGAGUAUGGUAAAUCCAAUUGAUGCAAAUGACAAGUGCAUGGCAUGACAAACCAAAAUCUCAAGGACUUGAUCAUCCAGAGGAAUGGUUGGAGAUAUUGGACAUCAGAAUACUCCAGAACUAUAUUUUACUCAAGGGAGCCACUAUGUGUUUAGAGGUUAUGAUCAGGCACAAAACAUACAUAUAUCAUCAUUGGUGGAGCCCUGCAACAUGAUGUGGAAGCCAUGCGAAGAAAUUGCAACAUGACUUUCCUUCAAGGGAAAGGACCUACUUUGAGAACACAUGCAGCAGUGUGAACUAGCUAAUCAAAAGGGGCAAGGAAAUGACAGUUAGCAGGACUCAACUAGCUAACAAGUGCAUCGGAUAUUUUGUAUUGAACACACAUCAAUACCAAUGCAAAAUUAACAAAAACUAUCCAACAACAAGAACUUAAUGGGAAGUAGUUCUUUAUUAUGAAAUCCAACAUAACACCUAGUACAUAAACCAAGAAGAAGCCACAAAAUUAUAUGUUAAUAUGCUCUCAUAUAUUUAUUUUCUCACUUCAUGCAGGAUAUUAACCAUAGUGCUCCAUGAAUAACAAUAUACAGAAGACCACAACAUAUUGUAACUGGCUACAUAAUCAAAUGCAGAAAAAUCAUUCAAUAUAGUUCAGUCUUAAGUUAGUUAAUCCGAAAAAUAACUACUUACUUAAGUUCCGAUCAUCAAGCAAAUCAAGUCCUGGCUUCCAUCCAGGCAAGUGUUGUUUAGCAUUCCCCUUCCAGUCUUCCUCGAAAACAGGCAGCUCAUCUGAUGGUUUAAAGCAAAUUGCAGUUAAAUGAAAUAAACAAAGAAUAUAAUCAUCCUCUUAGCUGCAGCACAAAAUUGUGCCAGACCUUCAUUCAAAUUAUGUAAUGUCUGUAGUGUGUCUACCCUCCCAUCUGAAUUUAGUUUUCUUGUUAGUGAGUGACCCUACAAAGACGAUGAAAAGGGUGCCUUAAGUAAUAUAGCAUAUAAACUACAUUUAACAAAAAAUGAUUCAUUAUAAUCAAGUAUCUCGAAAGUAUAUUUAAUGUGAAAAAUAAUCUAUGUUCAUAUGUACUUUGUCACGGAUCCCUCGAGAAAUCCUGUGUGUAGCUCUACCGGUAGUAGUAUCGGCCUCCUUGUUCUCCUCCAUAACAAACUGUCAUAGUCAAGAAGGGAGGUAGUACUAAUAUAAAUAAUCAGAAGAUCAUUACAGUCAUGCAAUGUUCCAAACAAAUUUACAAAAACAAAAAAAAUAGUGCAUUAGUUCACUAAGCCUGAUUACUCACUCCAUCACCACCCAUUCUCCUUGUAGUAGAUGAAGUGUAAUAUGCUCCAUUUGGACCACCAUAAGUCACUGUUGAGCUCUGGAAAGUAAUAGAGUGACUAUGUGAUUGCAUCCUAUCAGACUGGUUGAAGUUGUUCACAUAUUGCAUACGCCUUCUCUUAUUUGCUGCAAAAACCAAACCUUCUCAGGAAUCUUGCACCGCUUAGAAAUAUUAUCAUUUUGAACCCUACAACUACUAUGAAAAAGGGAACCAACAGAUAAGUCUAUACACCUUCAACUACUUCAUCAGGAUCCUGAACAUACGGCUCUUUGCUUGUUCUAGAAUGUUUUCUUGGGUUCUCUUUCUGCUCCUUGUCAGUCUCUUCUCCUCCAUUAUCAUCAUCAGACAGUUCUUGAAUGAUCGGACCCUUUGACUUAUUGACAUAAGGAGCCUGCUCCAAGAACCCAACUCUACUGGUCUCUCCAAAAACGCUCCCUCGAUCAGCAAACAUGCUGGGACCAAACAUGCUUGGUCGGAACAUGCUAAGGCCCAUCAAGCUUCCAAAAGGCUGCGUGAAGAAAGGGUCAUCGAAGGGAUCUCUCCCACCAAAAAAGCCAGAAAUCAGACUCCCUGGUCUGCUGAGGCCACCAGAUCCAGCAAAUGGAUCCCCAAAACCAAAGAAGUCACCCAUACCGCCUCUGCCAUUCUGCAUAUUCUCUGAACAUAAAUCUGAACACAUGGGAAAAAACCGAGACUGUUCAAGAAAAUGUAAAUGUUACACUAAACAAAAGGAAAAACGCGAUCGAUGAGAGAAACGAAACAAGAUCUUUUUUGUUUUCCCAACAUAUUGGUUGAAUCGAUUAAAACCAUGACAGAACAAACCAAUUGCAUAAAAAUCGAAAAUGUCAAACCCAAUAAUUCGGCUUUAUCCAUUAUCCAUAUGUGACAUUUCUCCAAAAUCCAUUCUCAAAGCCCAUUUAUUCAGUUAUCAAGCAGGCAGAAUACCAACAAAACCAAGUGAUACAAGAACACGUCAAUAGGGAACCAACAGAAACGAGAAAAACGGAAAAAAAAAAAAAAAAAGUGUUUUCAAAGAUGAUCAAUAGAUCAAAAUACUACAUUUUUCAUACCGACUAAACGAAAACCAAAACACCAGCAACCAAAUCCAAAUAGACCGAACUCCUAACCCACAUCGAAUGGAAAGCCAAAGUACCCUAACAGCAGAUCCGAAUCGAGGGUAGAAGUCUCGAUCAACACUUCCAUGGGAACCCUAGAAAACGUUUGGGUACACGAUCCGAGGAAAACAGAUUAAAAAAAAAAGGAGAAUGAAGAAAAUUACGGACCCCGAGAGAUCGAAUCGGAGCGACGUGGCCACCGGUGGCGGCCAACUCGAUCGGCAAGCCUCGGAGAUCGUAAUCGAGCGCCCGAUCUGUGGGAGACUCGGGAGCGAUCGACGACGAAGACGAGAGGUUUCCGCGUCGUCUUAUAACUGGAGCAGGAAGCAACUUAAUGGAACCGACAGAAUAAGAAAAAAAAAAAAACAUUCAUUAUAUUUAUUAUAGUAUUACAAAGGGCGAUUUUAUUUUUUUUCAAAAAAAUACUUUCUAUUAUUUCUCAAAUAGUAUUCCUAAUUUUUAUAAUAUUUUUAUUUAACUUAUUUAUAUUUUUUUAAUAAUAUUAUAAUAUUUGAUUAAGUUAUUAAAAAUAUUAAAAAUAAUAUAUUAUUAUACAUAUUAUAUCUCUUUAGUUGUGAUUGCUCGUACACCAUUAUAAUAUAAAAUUUUUAGACUUUAAUUGAUUUGAUUGAGAUUAUGGAUCUAUUUAUAUCAUCUAUAUUAUUUUUGUUAAAUACUGUAGUAGAUCAAAUCACUAUAACAAGCUAAAAUACUAUAAUUGAUUAAAAAAAGUAUCAUUAAGUUGGUGAGAAGUAUUUUGGAUAUUAUUUAAAACAAGAGACACCAUUUGAGAAAAUUAAAAACAAGAGAUAUUUUUGGGAAUUUUUUUUCUAGGAAAUUACCCUAUUAUAAAUGACCAAUUUCUUGUAUUUUUAGCAAAUAAUACUCCUCAUUACUAAAAUGGGUAGUGGGAUCCAUCGUUUAUUCAAAAAUACUAUAAUGGAGUAAUGUCCAAUUUUUUUUCUAUUAUCAUCCUUUAACAACAAAUAAACAUAUAUAUAUUAAAGAUUUUCCAAAGUAAAUUCCUAAACUUAGAAUUAGGCAAAAAAAUUAAAAAUUUAAAAUAUAUCAAAACCUUUAUAAUUUUUAUCCAAAUAUACUCAAGUUCUCGUUCAAAUAACUUUAUAAUACCUCCAAUUGAAUAAUGAAGUUGAUAAUUAUAUUAAUUUUUAAUAUUUUUCAAUAAACUUAUUGUCUUCGUUUCAUAAUCAAAGACAUAGUAAAUCAAUUUGAUUUACUACUAAAUUGAUCUAACCAAGUCAAUCUAAUUAGAUUUUCAAUGAAAAAUCUAAAACAUAGAUGUUGUAAGUUUAUCAUUUCCGGAAAAAAAAAAGAAAGAGGUAAGACUGUCUUUAGGCAUAUGAAAAUAGGAUAAAUUAUUCGUAAAAAAAUCUAAAUAGUUGAAGUUCUAAGUAUAUUUUGUACAUACACAAAUUCUAAAUAUUAAUGAUAAAUCAUUAAUGUUUUUUCUUAAUAUACAUAAGCUAAGUGUUCACUUAAUAUCCUAAGCAAAACGAGUGAAACAAGCAAAAAGGGAAAGCAAGAGCCAACUACACAUUCACAAUAAUUUAUUACCAUUAUUUUUUAAAAAAAUAUUAUAUGAAAUAAUGUAUUUGAUGCUCACAAGUGUAUUCAAAGCUGAGAUUUAUCAUUUGUGUAACAAAUACAUUAAUUAACCUAUAUGUCUCAAUAAAGAUAUUACCAUUAACUUGUUGACAUAACAAAUAACAUCAAACUUUCUAUGUUUUAAUUGCAGUAGUCUCACUCUACAUUUCCAUGCAACAACAUUUAAUAUAAGUUCUUGACAUCUAUUAAAUUAAAAAAUAUAAAUAAAAAAUAAAGAUUGACAAGAAAGAUUCGAUAAAGGACAAAAGCUAGUGCUUCCACUACGAUAAAGACGGAUAUUAAAAGAGAAACAGCAAAGAGUACCUUACAGAGAAGGCGAAACAAAAACUAAGAUAAGUUUCAUGUACAUUCAUGAUCAGUCUCUAUUUAUUAAAUUUUUAUGAUAACACAUAGGUAUUAGAUAUCGACAGUACUUAUCAUAUUUGUAAUUCGUUAUAGAUUUUGGUAAUACCUAGGAGAUUGGCAAGAGGCGAAAUGGACCUCAAGAUAAACAACGGAGCAAAAGUUGUUACAACGACUAUUGGUGAGGUCACCCUACAUCUGUCUAGUGGAGCUACUAUUACAUUGGAUUUAUGUUAUUUUUUCCUUCUAUUAUCAAAAAUAUUAUUUUUAUUUUAUGUUUGACAAUUAGUAAAUAUAAAUUAGUUUUUGAGAACAAUGGUUAUUCAGUAAUAUUGGAAGAAAAAAUCAUCAUAAGAGAAACAUUGUAUAAUGGUUUAUUUAUGCUAGACACUGUUCCACAUAUUAUAAAUACAAGUAUGUCUAAGAAGAAAUGAGAUGAAGUGAACAAUGCAUACAUGUAACCUUGUAUGCUAGGUUAUAUCCACGAGGGAAGGAUUCAAAAGUUGCUGAAUGAUGGAUAUUUAGAUCCAUUCGACUAUGAGUCAUAUGCAACUUGUGAAUAUUAUCUUUGAGAGGAUUCGAAGAGUAUUUUUAUUUUCUUUUAUAUAUUCAUAAUAAAAUUUAUAUGUUUGAAAUCUUAAAAUUAAGUUCAAAAUGCUCUUAAUACUACUCAACAAACCCUGGGUUUCGUUUCCUUCCUAUUUAGGAAUUUUAUAAUCGCUUCAUAUAUGAUUCAAUCUUCAAAUUUAUGAUACAAUAAUCAAACGCUCAUUCCACAAAAUAAGUAAUCAAUUCAUAUGUUAAUAACAUGGAGAAACCUACAACCUGUAAGCAUAUAGAGAUUUGUUUAGUCUCUAAGAAUCAAUCCCACACCUCUAACACUAUCUUAGAUAUUGAUAAUAAUAUUUAGUCUCACAUUGAUCGAGAUGUAGGAGAAUCAAGGAUUUGUAAGUCCACCCGAUCACCCUUAAUUUUAGAGGUAUUUUUUGAUACUCAUGAGUUUCGAAAGGACAAAAUCGUAACGACAUUUUUAGUACCAUCCAUUUUUAUGUUUGAACCUGAUUAUAAGUAUUUGACAAAUAUCCUUCAAACUAUUAUAAAAGUUUUUAGUAUGACAUAUAUGUUAUAGCUUUGCAAAUAAAAAAAAAAAAGAGUAUUUUGCUCCAUUAAAAGCUUCCUCAUUUCGGAUCUUCCAUAUGCCUUUAAAUGGGCCGGGUUUAAAUAUUUAGCCCAAGAAGGCUCUGUUAAAUAUGGCCCCCUCGGUCGUUGCCUAUAUAAAGCAACAGACGUUAGGGUUUCCCGUGCUUUCCCCGCGGCCGCCUUCGCUUCCGGAGAUCUCAAUAGAGAGGCGAUCUUAGCAGGUUCGUAAUCGAAUGCUGAGAUGCUUUCUUUUGGUCUUUUAGCAACUUCUAGGGUAAUUAGCGACAAUCAGUAUUACGUGAUUCCUGCUGGUUACGAUGAUCUUGUGCCGCGGAUGAUUUUUGCGUCCUGCGAACGAUUGUUAGGAAAAUAAGAUCUGAAUAUGGUGUCAUUUAUGUUUCUUAAGAUCGUAAUAUUUAGGUUUUGUAAUGCUUGUUGAUUGGGACCAGCGGCUAUAGUGAUGUGUCCUCAAGAUGGUCGAUGAGGAGAAGUAAAACAUUAGUUUUAACUUUCUUUGCUAGCUAAUCCAUCAUCCUCCAUAUAUAUGAGGUGUACAGUUCGAUAAAAAAACCCUAUCUUUUUGUCUUCUUAAAGAUGCAGUUUACUAGUUGUGUAUCAGGUUUGAGGCCAACUAUCUAUUCUAUAUUUUCUUAACUUCAGAAAGGGUUGAUGAAUCGAGGUUGAGACCAACAAUUUAUUUCCUCAAGAUAAAGGAAUUGUGGUGAUCAUCAAAAGAUUUUUGUAGAACCUUUUUAUAUGCUUCUCCAAGUAAUAAAAUAGAACUUGGAUGAGUACCAGAAUGUCCAUGUUUCAUAUAUCUUGGUUUAACUCUAUUCACAAUGGUUCACUUCUUGGUGUAUAAACUGUGAAGUAUGUCAUCCUCCAUAUAUGGUACCUUAUGUUACUUGACACACAAAAGUCUUAAGAAAUUUUAAUGUAGAAUUGUUGAUCUAGUGCUGUUUUUUUUUUGCUAGUAUGAUGCUGUUGGGUGCAAAUUGGAUUAUCUGUGUCCCAUUUAUUUUCGCAAUCAUCCAAUUCAUUCUUGUUUUUAUGUUUUUGAAUUUUCUUCAUCUUAAGUUUUGCAUACCUUCUCUUUGUAUCUUAUAAAAUUUAAAUAUUGGGGCUAAUUUUUGGGACAAUCUUGUUUUUUGAAAUUGAUGUGGUUGAUGAAAAUAUAAUUUGUAGAGAAAAAUGCUGCUUUCCCUCUAAUGCAGAGUUGCUAUUAGCCAUAUGAUAUCACCAUUGAUCUCACAGCCCAUUUAUUUGCUUUCUCAAUGGGACAUUGUGCCAUAAUGAGUUUGCAACACCAGUUCCAGUGGCAUUUUGCUCACUGUGUCUCUUUGCCUUUAAUCUGGUUUUAAUUGUCAAGCUGUUCUUCUGGUUUAUGUUUAUUUUUUUUUAAAAGUUGAUUUAUGCUGAGCACUUGAUCUGAUGUAGUCUAUUUAACUUGUUUGGUCAGCAUGGAUACUCAAGCUAAACUUGCAGUUGUGGUGAAAGUGAUGGGCCGAACUGGAUCUAGAGGUCAGGUAACCCAGGUCAGGGUUAAAUUUUUGGAUGACCAAAACCGGCUGAUCAUGAGGAACGUGAAAGGCCCUGUGAGGGAAGGUGACAUCCUCACCCUUCUUGAGUCUGAAAGGGAGGCUAGGAGAUUACGGUGAUGACUUUCAUGUCAAUGUUGCCUACAUUAGUAGGGUAACUCUAUUAAGCUACAGAUUUGUCCUUCUCUGCCAUGGUCUUUCUGGUUCUAUGGCAUUAGUUUCUAUUACUUAGUCGCUUUAUUAUGAGCUGUAUCGAGCCAAGAAACUGUUUUUUCCUCUAAUGAGUCAUUUAACUCUCAAUGUUUGAACAUUUUUUAUGCUCAUGUCAUCUCUCUCUCUCUCUCUCUCUCUCUCUCUGUUGCUCUGCUUUUCUAUUAAAGAUGUUUUUGACUUACCGCACGUUGUGCAUUGAUGGCAAGUUCUAUGUAGAUGAGUUAAACAUGAACUUCGCAUCAUGAAGCGUUUAUGAUGUCUACCGAUGCUUAUCUGUGGCUUCAGUGGUUGUGUUAAAAAAUUAUGAUUAUAAGAUGAGGAUUUAAAUCCUCAAUUAAAUUGUUGAAUCGCCGGUUCUUAUUGUUUUUAUCAAUUAAUUGAUAUAAAGAAAAAAAAGUUUGAAGUGUUGUUUAGAAUUCAUUUGUGUUUCAUUUUUCUUCAGUUAGUUUGGAAUCGAAUUAAAAUUCAAAUCGUAAUUCUUGAUUGUUGAUUGUUUUUUGUGUUGUAUUGUGAUUGUCGAUUUUUUGUCGGUUUGAAUGGUACUGUGAUGUCGGAAUUAACGUACAUCACAUGGUAGUUAAACAAUAUUAACUAUUUUAAAUCACCAAGGCACGUUAAUGACAUGAAAUAGAUCAUCAUAUCAUUAAUCUCGUCACUACUAAAUAAUAAACAGAGCAUUGAGUAGGACACACGCAUCAAAACCUAUAAUAUUAAUCUAAUUAGAAAACCAAUAUAUUGAUCUCAGAUGCUCUCAUCACAAUCAACCAUUUGUGCUACCAAUUUGACCUCUACACCACAGAUGUCAAAGAUAUUUAUAAAUAUUUUUUGAAAUUUUUAUCCAUAAAUUUCGAAAACUUUAACAGUCAAAAAGGAACUUUAUUUAUUAAAUUGUAAUAUCCUCUCACACGUGUAAGUUCGAUUGGUAUAUAAAAUUAAACUAUAUAUAUGGGACAAACUAAUUAAAAGGAAAAUAUUUUACAUAAAUUAUAUAUAGGUCUAUACAAGAUUUAUUUCAUAAUUCACUGUGAUAUUAUGGUAAUAUUUUUGAAUUGGACACUACAAAUCCCAAUAGCUACUUUGAACAGUUAAAAGUGUAUCAUUAAAUUAGUUACGCAGUUCAAGAUUCAUAUACCCACUUUUAUCUCACACAGUAAUCAGCACAUCUGCGGCGGGACCCGUUAGGGGUCCACUGACGGCUUCUCACGUUCAGGGUCCAAGCUGUUCCCAACCAUAAGAUUCCCGCACCGCGACCUCUUAUCAAAUAGCGGUUCACCUCCACCGUGUGGAUGGCAGAGUAGGCAUUCGUCGGUGAGCUCCGACUCUACCCCAUGGCUCUUCUCUCCUCCUCCUCACAUCGAACCUCUCUGGCUUCUUCCUGCCCUCAAUUCUAUGCUGCCACCUCCCACGCCGACUCCAUCGGCUUCCGACAUCGCUCGCGCCUCCCUACUAGACCGAGACCCCCAAUCUCCUUCCUUCGGGCCUCCUCCCCGACACACUCUCUCUUAGGCGCCAUUCCUCGCAGCCAUGGCCGACCUCGCGGAAGAUCCCCGCGUUUCUUUGUCUCGGUAUGUUCUGCACGUGCAUCUCCCUGAAAAUGCUCGAUUUUGAAUUGCCCAAAUUCGAUUCUUUCACAUGUGACGUACAUCGGUUUGCUAGUGCGGAUAAUUAUCAGGAAAUGCAUAUUUAGUUCUUGAUGUUCUGCUGCGUUCAAAAUCAUCUUUUUCAGUUUUUAUAUGAUUUGAAUGCGUUAAGAAAAUUGGAUUGAUCGGUUUUAAGGGGAUUGAGAUGACCGAGUAUGACCUUCAAUUUCAUUGCUUAAAGAUACAUGGUUUCUGGAACUUAAAUGUCAUUUUCUCACAGGAAGUUCCUUUCUAGGGAAUAUAAGUCUGAGACUCGCUAUUUCACAGGAAUAGAAGAGUAGGCUAAUCUUGUAUUUGUUUUGAUUUUCAUUUCCAAAUGUCGUAGUAUGCUCGUGAAAAGAAUUAAGACCUUGAAUACUCUUGCUUCUCAUGUUUUCGUGUCUUGUUUCAUCAUCAAAGUGUGAAGCAGCAAACAUACUGUUUGGGAACUUUCUGCCAAAACCUAAAUCCUUGCUUUUAAUGAUGCUUACUAGUUUCUUCUUGAUCUUUAUUUAACCAAUUCUCAAAGAAAAAUGUUCAUAUCAUGCAUAAAACUUCUGUUUACUUUCAGUAAGCCUUCUAUUCUUUUUCAAAAUUUGUUGAAUUGUAUAGAUUUCUGUUAUGUUCUAAAUUCUACAAACUAAAACAUUGUUCGAGCCUCUCAUUCAUUUCAAUCUUUUAUCUAAUAAAAGAAUUUGUCACAUGUUUUUGGUUGUUUUCCUAAAUCAUUAGAUAUCAUCACUCAACUACUUUAAGGUUUCAUAUUAUUGCAUAAUUUGCUUGAGUCUGUUGUCCUUGUCUUGAUUUUUCAAUUAUAAAUACAUCAAAAGUAUAAUAUAGACUUAACAUUCAUCUUAGUGAAACAUUUUUUUAAAGAAAAAGUUCCAUCAGCAGAAAUUGCCAAUUCUCAGAUCUCAUGCUUCUAGGCUAUCAUGGUAAUAUUAAGGGUAUGAUCAAGCACCUUGUGAUGUUGUCAUAGUGCUUUAAAGUUCCUUAUCACUUACCACAUCUUAAUGUCAACUAUGAAGAAGGGUAUGGUUCAGAGUUCAUUUUUUUGUUUUGGUUUGCUUGUUUAUACUGGUGCAUUCUCAUGCACAAUUUCAUAUCUAUACCCAAUAUACCCAACAUACCUAUAAGUUGACCUGGCGUAAUUCAGUACAAGCAAUGCAGUCUCAUGCUGUACUAGUUGGCCACCACCACAGGCUGGAAAAUUGAUCGAAGAGAGCAUCAUAAAGAUUUCAAGUUUACUUUUUGUGCUAUCUGUUAAAUACUUAUCCUCUCUCCAUUUAAUAUUUUAUUGCCUUGUGAACCAAGUGUUUGUUUCUUGCAAUCACUUUCAGUGCCUUGCUUGAACCUUCUGAUUUAUAUCUAGAUCUCACAUUUAGAUAUACUUCCGCUGUCUGACCUUGUUAGAGUGUUCAAAUUUCCUAAAGGUUGUCUAAGUGAGUCCAAUUUGAAUAUAGUACAAGAUACUUGGUUUGUCAUCAAGUUAAUUACCUGGUUUUUGAAAUAUGUAUAUUCAGUAGUGUUGUAAUUAACUAUUGUAUUUAAUUAGCUCAGUGAACUACAAGAGUGUGAUCUUUAUUGAGGGAAUGAAUUCUGCAAGAAUUUAAUUAAGGUAAUCUAACAUAGUACUCCCUGUGCCUAUUUCAAGAAAAAGGUUGGGUUGUUGAUUUCUUAACACAAUUGCAAAAUUUGGUGGAAACAUGAGUUGGUUGGGUUCUAAUUUUGGAACGGCUAUUUUCUGAUGAUCCCUGUUUUCAGAAUACAGAAUUUGUUCUGAAAGGCUAAGUCAAUAGUUGCUAGUGGUUGGUUUUGGAAAGUCAUUGUUUGGCACGCAACAUACUGAAAGGACAAAGUUGAAGCUUUGCCAGACCUACAAAAGUCACCAUUACUUGUAAAGAAAUUACAAACUAUGAUAAAAAAAACAGGUGUCCUGAUAAAUUCAUAUUAAAAGACUACUUAUUGGUGAAAACUUAAUAGUUCUGAUAAUUUUGCAUCAGAACAAGUUAUAGAUGUUAACAUGUACGCAACACUAGUUAAAAAUACAAUGAAAUUCAUUUAUCUGCAAUCUUAUUGUUAACAUGUAUGCCCUACUGGUCUGUCGUGAACUAGAAAUACACGUUGUCAAAAUCCAAUCUGCAUAAAUUUGUUCAAAUAAAGAUGCUGAGGACCUAGUGGAAACCAAAAUUGAACUGCAAUCUUUUGACAUUACAAUUUAAGGGCCAAAUCAAAAUUGAAAAUCAAACCAAAUUAGAUUUGGAACUUGUGUUUGAGACCAAGCCAACAAUUUUUUGUGUUGUUACACUUUGAAGGCCAAGUUGAAAUUGAAUCCAAUUAGAGGUUUCAGCCUCUCUGAUGUGAUUUUAGCCAAUACAUAUAUGUGCAAAACAGCAACAAGGUAAUGUAUAGCAUGCGCAAACAAUGUAAUUCGUGAUUAAUUUGUAGGUACAACUAUUGCAGCUUUGUGAACUGACAGAAAUGUCAUGAUUCAUAUACAUAACCUUUUAUUAGUUUAUUUUCAAUAAAUGAGGUUUUAUAACUGAGAUUCACUUCUGUUUAAUAUGGCUUUUUAUGCAUAAUUUCUCUGUUUAGAUAUAAAGAUUCAAUACUUCUUUGGAACUAUAACUAUGAUGCCAAAUUUGCGAGAUGAUGACAUUAUAUAAUCAUUGUGAUAAUGCUCUAAUAUUUGGAAGCAUCUUACAAAUUUUAGCUGCAACACCUUGUGUACAAGACUAACAAUUAUAUAGUGUUCUACAAUGCAUGGUUGUUUGCAAUAUGAAUUGGUUUAACUUGAGGCAAUUGGGAAGAACUGCCCAGUAUACAUCCUUUGAAGUUCUAGACUCUUAGCUUAUUCUUCAUUGCACCUUCCAAUAACCAUGUUUGUGACCUUUUCUCUUGAUAGGAUCGAAAAUAAUUUGACGUCUCUGUGACAUCUAUUAUGAAUCAUGUUCUGCCUUGUCAACAACAUCAAAGUGAAAGCAAUUAAAGAGUAAUUUUUCAGUCACAAGUUUGUUUUCAUCCUUGAAAAACAUAUCAGUCAAAACUUAAUGACCUCUUAGUAUCUUUUUUUAAUUUUCUGCUACUCAUGUUUGUUUUCUCAUGAUUUGUGAAAGAUAUAAAUAUAACAUACAAAGGUAUAGUUAUCUUUUCUACAUAAACAAAUAACUGAAUUAACUUCACAUGCUAGGCAGGCAUGUUCUAAAGCUGAUGCUGCUGGUUCCAGUACAUUAACAACAAAAUUGUCAGAAUUCAGAGAUUCAUGUUGGAGAUUUUUAAGGCCUCAUACUAUUCGUGGGACUGCAUUGGGUUCCAUGUAAGAACUUCAGAAUUUAUUGUAUAAAGAUAGUGAACGAAUUGUUCAAAUUUUGAUAUCAAUCUUGAGUUUAGUUCUCUAUAGUUCUAACUCUCUGCUGUUUCUCAUCUGUGCUUUGUUUUUCUGUUUCUUUUUUAUUAAUGACAGAGCUUUAGUUGCAAAAGCUUUGAUGGAGAAUCCAAAUCUUAUAAACUGGUGGUUGACAUUCAAGGCAUUUUAUGGACUUGCAGCUCUUAUUUGUGGCAAUGGUUAUAUAGUGGGCAUUAAUCAGAUUUAUGAUAUUGGAAUUGACAAGUAUGAUAAACUCUGCUUGCAACUUACCAAAUCUGUUAUAUGUAUGAUUUUGUUUACUUAAAGAUUUUACCUCUGUGCACAUGACAUAUCUCAUACUCCUAUUAAUCUGAUUGCAUGACCAUCUGUUUCCUUAUCCUUUUUCCUUCUCAUCUUUGGUAACUUGUGUUUCUGGAAUUUUGCAGGGUGAACAAGCCAUAUUUGCCUAUAGCUGCAGGAGACCUUUCAGUUCAGUCUGCAUGGAUUUUAGUAUUGUUAUUUGCAGCAGCUGGCCUUCUGAUUGUAGCAUGGAAUUUUGGGCCAUUCAUUACUUCCCUUUAUUGUCUAGGACUUUUUCUAGGCACUAUAUAUUCUGUUCCUCCAUUUAGAUUAAAGAGAUUUCCAGUUGUGGCAUUUCUUAUCAUUGCCACGGUAUGCUUGGCCUUCUUUUCUCUUGAUUUUUGCAAAAUUAGAGGCUUCUACUUGUUCCUUAUGCAUAUUUUGAUAUAAAACUGAUCAAACAGUUAAUCCUUAUGAUACUGAAGUAUCUACUAUCUAGUUCUGUGGCUGCAUGAAUGCAAUUUAUCUAAGAAUUGGUUAGCAGCUAGGCUGAUUUGUAAUUCAUGUAGACAGUGUAUAGGUUACCCACAACAUGGAACAAUUUGUGCACUAACCACAAUUUUCAUGGAUAAUAAAUGUCAAACAUUUAUUAUACCUAUAACCUAUAGGAGAAAUUUAUUUUUAUGCAAUUAAUACACCCAUAAAUCUUAUCUAAGAAUACUUCUAAAUCUUCUUAGAUAUAAUAGCUUCAUGACUUCCUCAAACCAUGGUUCGCUUUAUCGGCCCGUACUGAUGUACCGACUAAUUGUUGGUAUAGUACAUACUGAGCUGUACCAAACCAUACCGAAUGUAUCAAUACAUGAUACAUGGGGUUGUACCGAUGUACCGCCCAUACCGGUCUCCUAUCGGAUUGGUACGUAUAGCCCGUAUCGAGCAGUGCACCAUGGUACGACAAACCUUGCCCCAAACCAUAUAAUACUUUGAAUUAAGACUUGGUAUACUCAAGUUUUUAACUUAUGACAUUUCGAAACAUAAGGAAUAAUGAUGAUAAAUAUCAUCAUUAAUUAUUCCAAACUUAACCGUGAAAGACCCAACUGAAUCUCAUCCUACAUCAAUUAUGUUAAUGCUGGUCUCACUAACUUACAUGGUCUUCUUGAUCAAGUAGUAAUUUGCAUUAGUGCAUAUAGGGUUGACAAUAUAUUCACACUAAGUUUGCAAAAUGCUGAUCUUUUUUCUGGGUCACUCAUGUUGGGGAUUGCUCGACAACCAACUUUUGUCAAUAGGAAAAGACAGAUGAUGAUUGUUGUUUUCCUUUUGCUAGUGAAAAGUAUUUUUUUAAACAUUAUUGUUUCUGCAUAUUCAAAUACUGAUUUGUACUUAUUUACCAAUCUGAUAAGGACCAUGGUCCGAUACUAAUCAAUGUUUUAUUAUUGUCCUUUUGGAUAUAUUGAAUGGCAUGGGUUGGUAUGCCCCCUGAGGCCUGCUAUACUGGUAUUGCAUCUGAUCGAUAGAUUAUUAUUAAGUCUAAAACCGAUACCAAACAAAGACUUAAAUUCUUGUUUGUUUGUCUUAUCCUUCUUGGUGUUUUAUAUGGUUUAUAUCAUCUUUAUUCAAUUGGUUUUUUGCAGUAAUGCUUUUUCACUUUUUUUUUUGAGCUGCUAUUUUUAUUUGAAUUCCUUAUAUUCUCCUUGUACAUUCUCAGUUACUUGAUUAUACCAAAGCUUAUAAGCAAUAUGCUUAUAUUCCAAAUUACAUAUUAUGAUGGCUAGAGAUUGGCUUAUAUUUGUUGGAUAAGGUAUCUCUCAAUCACUAACUUUUUUCAACGGAAGCAAAUUGCGGAAAUUAAUUUCGGGUAAUGAGUCUAUGACAAAUGGUUCAAGCCUGGCUUAAGCUGGUCCAUAUACCAGACUGCUCUUGGGCUGUUAUUUACCACGUAUACUGUACUGGUCCAAGCAUUAACACAUUCAAUGGGAGCAAUAUUGUAUAUCAUUUUUGUAUAACUUUCCGUUCAAUAUGUGAAAUUAAUACAAAUUAGAUGUUGUUCUGUUUUAUGAAAUAGUAAUCAAGAUCACAUUCAUAAUUUCUCAAGCUGUAUUCACACAUACUCAGCCUUUUGGUGGAUAUCAGAUCAUAAUUAUUUGAAUUCUCAUUUCUUUUCUUUAUUUUUAUGGACAUAGUUUGUUCUACUGAUUAUCUUGUCUUUUUUUAUGACUACAAUUCCAUAGGUACGUGGCUUUCUUCUCAAUUUUGGUGUAUAUUAUGCUACUAGAGCUGCCUUGGGACUUUCUUUCAAAUGGAGGUAAAGAAUCUUUUGAUAUUAAUAAAUAAAAUUUGUUACUGGAAGCCAUAUGCAUACAAUAGUUUGUAACUGUAAACUAAAAUAUGUUUGUUUGAGCAAACAUGUAAAUGUUGUUUGUGCAUCUCAUUGCAGACACAUGCAGAGAUGAUGGUGAUGUUUAAUCCCAUAUAACAUCUUUCUAUCUGCAGUGCACCUGUCACUUUCAUCACAGCCUUCGUGACACUAUUCGCUUUGGUCAUUGCUAUAACAAAAGAUCUUCCAGAUGUUGAGGGAGACCGCAAGUGAGUAAUGAACUGCCCUCCAAAUUUGUAUGUAUGAUACAAAUGUCCUUCACAUUUUUCUCAAUCUUGGGUGCACUUGAUACACCUGACUGCAUAUUAAUUUGCCUUUCCAAGCACAAAAAAAACCAUGAAAUCUCCCCUGUACCAGGAAGCUAAACUAUUGCAUUGUCUUAUAUGUGAUUAAUGAAGAUAUUAGUAGAUUUAGACAUGUAUAAAAUAUCAGUCAAAAUGGGUUUGGUCCUCCAGGCAUUUCAUCUUUGUCUCUAGAAAGUCAAAGCAGAUCACUCUCCACAAUCAGGUUCUAACCCGUAUUUUAAGGCCUAGUCCAAUGCUUUCAAAGCAAAGGCUUCUGUCAUAAGCACAAUGUAUUCGAUAAAUGUCUUGCAUGAUGCACAUGUUAACCUGUAUGCAUCUAUUCUUCUUGCAUCACACCUGUGCAUAGUUAAUCAAUAUAUGCACAAAAGACUUGGAUCUUAUGGUACAUCCCAACCUAAAAGUCAAGUUUCUGUAAAUGAACCUCAGAUGGUAGAUGGCUACAUGAGAAGGAGAUUGAAUUUUGUUAAUGAAAACAUUUGUGUUGUCUCUGAGGUUUUUCUCAAGAAAUGUUCCUUGUCUUUUUCAUUUGCUCCCUGCUUAUGAUACUAUCUAGAAGUCUUUCUCAGGAAAUCAGGUUCGAUUUGAAAUCUUUUUUUCACUGUUAUUUUGUUAGCUUUACUUUUUCCUUCUUUUAUUUGUCUUCCUUUAUUUCCAUUUUGUUGUUAACACAAUUUAAUCAGAUUUAGAGACAGAACUAGUCUGCCCUGUCUGCCAUGGGCCUUAUUCUUUAGUCAUAGUAGGCAAAUUUUAUUAAUCCAUUCCCUCAUCUUCAAUUUACUGUUUCAAUCUAGGGUCUAAAUUUCCUAUUAUCUGGAUCUAGCAGAAUAGGCAUGCUCAUGUCCUUCCUCUUUAUGUCUGCACUGGUCAUCGUGCUUCGGGGAUAUUCUAGAUUGUCAUUUAGCAUAUUAUUGUAUGCAGAAAGUUUUAACCCAUAUAACUUAUAUCUUAUCCAGCUAACUGGCUUCUAUGUUGGCAAGGACUGCUUCUUGCUUAAAUCAACAUUAGUUUAACAUUGGGCACUGUAUGAUUAUCUUCCAUAAACCAUAAUGAUCUAGAGCUUUGCUCAGUAUGUUAAACUGUGUUGUCCUUGAAGUCAUAUAUGAUGCUGCUGUUUCCCCUUUAAACUUUUCUGACUCUACAGUUGUUCUUUGGAGAUGAGAUAAACAUUCACGCAAACAAAUUGUGAUUAUAAUUGUAAAUAUACUGACACUUGGAUCAUGUAUUGGUUCUACCAUUGAAACAUUAUUAGUUACCUUUAAGUAAUACUUGGUAUUUGACCCCAGUAUUCAUUUUUUUUGGCGAGAAAUAAGUAUAGCCUGUCAACCUGAGUACAAGCACUUGCACAGGGUAAUAAUACGUUGACUCAGAGUUUGGUCAUUACAUGGUUCACAUCCAAUUUAGAGUAUGGCAGUUGGUUAAUUAAUUUGAAGUGUCAAUCAAUUGGUCUUUAGUCAAUCUUGAGAGAUGCAUUGAUAUAAGAUUAUUUUACAGUAUGUCACAGCAUGAAUGUUGAGGGUAUUGCCCUUCCCAUGUAGAGUUAAAAAAUACUUGUACAUGUCAUACGUAUCAAGUAUUUCUUCCUUGGCUCACAUAUGCAAUUCUUCUUUAGAUUUCAGAUCUCAACCUUGGCAACAAAGCUUGGUGUCAGGAACAUUGCAUUCCUUGGUUCAGGUCUCCUAUUAGCAAAUUACCUUGGUGCUAUUCUUGUCGCAAUUUAUAUGCCUGAGGUGAACACAUUAUCCAAAAUCCUUUUUGCAAGUCUUGGUUCCUUCUUAAACUCAGUGCUUCAAUAUUUCUAAUGUUUGUCCACCUCUUUGUUAUAUGGUUUCGAAACUGGCUUAUGUCAUUGUAACUGUUGUUGGCAAAAAUGAAAGAUCUGUUUACUUUUCAUUCAGCUUUUGGUUGUAUUAACCGAGUGCUUCAGUGCAAGCAGCCAUGAUCUUUUUGCCUUUUUUUCUGAAUUAUUGUGCAUUUUCUUUCUCUUGAAAUCUGCCUUUUGUUUUACAGGCUUUUAGACGCAGCAUAAUGGUGCCAGCACAUGCUCUGUUAGCACUGGGAUUAAUUUUCCAGGUUAUAUCAUAUCUAAUUUCCCCGUGUUUAUAUUGCACCUUAAAAAACACUUCAAGUUCCUUGCCCCUCGUGAUUAACUGAUAACUCCAUUUAUGUUGAUAAUUCAUUUUGAAACUUGCCUUAAGAAGUUCUUGCUGAAACAUGGCAAACAACUUCUUGAUGAUUGGACUUUUUUUUUGUAACUUCUUAUAGAAUAAUAUAUUUUUUUGUUGAUGCUUCUUACUGUACUAUAUCAGAUUGGGCAUUUUGUGAAUCUUUAAGAGAUAGGCAUAGAGCUUGCCACACAUUACAUUUUUUGCUAUAAUUAUUUAAAGUUAAGUUGAAUUAAACCUAUAGAUGAUACUUAAAUGUUGUGAUAUAGGUCAAAUGAUCUAAGGUUCCAAAUACCAGACUUACCAUCUUGUAUGGUCUGGUACUUAAUUGUCUAAUAGAGGAUGAACAGGUGGGCUGGCCAAUUUCACCCAUUCUGGCUCAAAAUAGAGGUUUUUUAUUUUUUUAAUUUUAUUUUAUACAGUUGAAGACAGUUGUUGGCUGCCAACAUAUAGUAAAAGAAUAUAAUAUAAAGUAUAGCUGAGAAGGCUAUUGGAAAACACUAUUCAGAUAAGAUUGUUUGGACACCGCCACCACAGUCUCUCUCUCUCUUCUCCUGACUGUAACCACCUCCUCCAUCAUUGCUGCCUUGGCAUCCACCUUCUCCCAUUGCCACUGCUGCCUCCUCCUUGCAUCAUUGUUGCUGCUGCCUCCUCCAACAGUAUGCAAAGUCAUCUCUUCCACUUCCUUCCCCUCUUUCUCCUCCUAUGCUCACUCCUAUCUCUUCCACUUCCUCCCCCUCUUUCUCCUCCUAUGCUCACUUCUAUCUCUUAUCUCCACUCCUCUGCCUCCCCUUUUCUCGUUCUUUUUCUUUGGUGCAUGCCAUUUAGCACAGGGCACACCAUGUGUCAGCAUGCUUCACGUGCUGAUUGCCAGAUCAGUACAAGUAUCAGACCAAAAUUUGAAACCUUGGGUCUGGGCAUUCACAUGAAAUAUAUUCAAGCUGAAUGUAUACAGAAUGUCACAUAAAAAAUAUAGUUCUUUUUUAAGAAAGCAGCUUCUGUAAGUAGUUAACAGUAAAGUGAAAAAUUAGUUGGAGCAUACAUAAAAUUGGAACUUUACUGAGUGCAUGUUGGGUUGCUCCCUGAUUGCAACAUUUUGUAUCUACUCCACACGUAUGAUUCUUUGAGAAAAGGUUGGAUAAGAUGGACAUAAAUUAAAUUAAGGCACUGUUUUAGAAAUGAUUUGUUGCAUGGGCAUCCCAGUUUGGUGGCUAUUAAGUGAAGGUUCUCAUGUUGAUCAUAAGGAAAAACUUAAAUGGCCAGCUAGGAAAUAAGUCAACAUCAGGGGGGAGUUCUCAUGAGGCUAUGGAUAUAGGGGAAGAAAAUGAACCAUGUAAGUUUAGUUCUGUCACGCCUUAUGAGUUUUACUGGCAGUUAAGGAUUUUACAUGUUGGUUAUGCUAACCUUGUUGGUUGAUGCUUGAAGCUUUUAACACACUAGCACAGUACGGCAUUGGUCAUGCUAAUGUACAAUUUGCUAAUGUUGGCUGGCACUCCUUUGUUAGCACACACUGGAUUAGGACCUUACAAGCAUGAGGGUACAUCCUGGAACAAAAUGUUAUUUUGCUACUAUGUAUUCCUAUGGAGAUAAAUGCUUGAUUGCAAAUAAAUUGUAUAGUUACACAUUGUACGAGGGAUUUGCUAGGUCCAAUCUUGAGGCCUACUAUUUAUCUAGGAUUAAUCAAACUUGUCCAAAAUUAUUCAUGGCAACCAAAAUCUACCUCAGACUCAACCAGAAGCUAUUGGAACUCAAUCAAACCUCUGCCAUUGACAAAGUUCAUCUGAUGUCAGUCUAGUUCCACCGGUUUCAGUUAGUUACUGGGUUGCUCGGUUCCAGGAUUUUAGCCAGUUACCAGUCUGGUUGGUUUCAGUAAGUUCUAACUGGUUUAUUGCUAUUAUCGGUUCAUUUUGAGAUCUAAUAGCUGAUUUUGAUCCUGACUUGACGUAGCCAAUUUAUGCUGAUUUCUGGUUAUCAAGAUCGAUUUUAAUUGUCAUGGUUGAACUUAGCUCAUUUUUAGCUUUGGAGAACCCAAUUUUUUGAUUGCAGAAUUUGAUUUGGCUAGUUUGUCAAUCAUAAUUCCAUAAACCUUAGCACAUCUGACUUAAUAAUAUCCUGCCAAUUCAUAUACGUGUAUUUUAAGCUUAUAUUUCUUUGUGUAUACGAAACAAAAGAUAGUGUAAAAUAUUUGCUUUUUUUUUUCUUUGAAUUUGAAGAUGGAGUUGGCUCUCUAUCUUUUUUUUGUCUUUUCUUUGUCUCUUUAUUUUAGAGGAUAUCCCUUGUAUUCCUAAUAUUAAGCUCUCUUCCUUAUAUGAUUAGCUUUAUAAUCUUCUUAUGCAUUAAGUUGAGGGUACAUGUGAUUUUCAGGCAUGGAUUUUGGAACAAGCAAAAUACACCAAGGUAUGAAUUAUCACUAUAUACUGUCCAUUAGUUUCUUAGAUAAACUCUACUCACAGUUUUCUUUAUCAAAACCUCAAGAGAUUGGUGAUACUUUUUUCUGUAACAUUGGGAUAGGUUUUAAAUUGAGAUGUAGAAAAAGCAAAUAGAUGACUGGUGAAGAAUAUUGCUGAGAGCACAGCAUCCUUCUCAAGAAUAGUCUAACCUCUUAAAUUCUUGCCUUUAAAAUCCAAACAAUCUAAUGUGCAGAGCAAUUCAUACAAAUCCCUAUCUUGGUACAUUAUAUACAUUAAAUCAUUUACAGUCAUGAGAAGCUAGUUAAAGUUUACAAUCAUCGCUCUUAAAUCAUUGUUGAUUUGAGCAAAAUAAAUUUAGUCUUGGUGAAAACAAAUUUUAGUCCUCAAUUAGAUAGUGCUAUUACAAGAAAAACAAUUGAAACUAGGUGAGACAUGGCUGUGCCUGUGCCAAAACCAAUUUCUUACUUAGACCUGAUUAAUCUCAUAUCACCGGGAUGUUUCCUUGUGAUGCUUUUAAAUAAUUUUCAGUCAUCACUUGUUGAUUGGGUGAUAACAAGUGACUCAACCAGUUUAAGCUAUAAAAAGAAUUUGUUUGUCAUUAUUUAAUGAUAUUUAUUUUAUCCUUCUUUUUCCUUGCAGGAGGCAAUAUCACAGUUCUAUCGGUUUAUCUGGAAUCUUUUCUACACCGAAUAUAUCAUUUUUCCCCUUAUAUAGCAAAACUUAGAAUUUUCUAUUGCUUGUAUCUCUGAAUCCUUUUCGCUUAUCCUUCUAUUUCUUGAUCAAGAGAAAAUUUGUAGGGAUAAGUGUCGUAGAAGAGAUUGCCCUCUUGAGAUGCAUGCAUAGAGGAGUACACACAGUGGGGAGUGCCAGUUUUGUUCCUGAAACUGACUGAUCCAAGGGCAUGUAUUUUGCAUGUUUUAUGCAGUUAUUUUAUUAGGUUAAUUACUCAGUAUUUUAUGUGUGAAAAUUGAGGAUAAACAGCUAUGUAGUUUUCUCAUUGACCAAUGAUAAUUUAUUUUGAAUGAAUUAUUCUUCCACGGACGUCAACUACUUUUUGCAGUGUGAUACUGCUUUGUGCUGUGGGUGUUGUUUGUUGAUGAACAUUUCAGUAGAUGGGAACCUUAUUACAAUAUUAUUUUGUAAAAUUGCAUAUAUAUAAUUCAUAUUUAUCACAAAGUUAUGUUUUGUGUGUGUGUGUGUGUGUAUAUAUAUAUAUAUAUAUAUAUAUAUAUAUAUAUAUAUAUAUAAUAGUAACUUUUGCCCUAUAUUUAUUCCAAACUCGAUUUAUAGAUAUUUUAAUCUAAAUUAAAUCAGCAAAAUAAACAUGGAAAUAGCAAAAGAAAAAAAGAACACUGAAUAAAUGACAUUUCUAAAUAUCGAGGGGAGUCGCUCUCGUCAACGCUCCAUCUCACGCUCUAUCCAUCUAAAUCUGGCAUCUCAGCCGUCCAUCCAUCCGAAAGGCUUGAUAACAUUCAUCACGGUGAUGGGCACGAAACAACGGUGAGCAGAGACGAUCAUGUCUUCCACUUCGACUGGCAGCCUUCCGCCCGGCGCUGGCGGAGGCGGAGGAGGGAUCGGCGGCGGCGGUGGCGGCGGCGUAGGGGGUGUGGGAGUACGGGGCUGGCUGUCGGCCACGUCGGUGUCGUCGUCUGGGAAGAGGAUCAAGAAGGAGAUGCUGGAGCUCAAUGCCGAUCCGCCUGCCGACUGCUCCGCCGGCCCCAAGGGCGACAACCUCUACCACUGGGUCUCCACCAUAAUCGGCCCCCAAGGUCUAGCUAAACUCUUCCUCUCUUUAUCAUGUUCAUCACCACCAUAAACCCUUACGCUCUCAUCAUGUUGUUCUAAUUGCUUCUUAGAGAGGCAGAUACUUUGUGUUCUCUGAAUUUACGGUUAGCAAUGGUUUCUUGAUUUAAGCUGACCUAAAAAUUGCUGCAAGAAGGGGGCUGUUGUUUGCACUUGCAGCCCCUCUGGUUUCAUUCAUGAUUAAUGAGAACAUUCUCAUAAGCAGGCGCUUAAUAAGACUUUUUCUUAAGGUAAUGGUUUCUCGGGGCAUAUGCCCCUUGCUGCUUGAGAUUUGGGGUGAUUAAUUCCUGCCCCUUGUUGUUUUGGACCUUGGAAAGUGAACAUUCUUGUAACAUGUACACUUGAUAUAUUAAGGGAUAUGCUUGUCAUGAACAACGUUUCAUGUGUUUCUCCACCAAACAGAAAGAGGGAGAGAAAAGGGGAGGACGAGAAAAGGUGGAGAAGAGGAGGAAGACUAUUUUGUCCUUUCUCAUAUUAGUACCUAAGCAUCUUUCCUAGAUUCUGGUAAGAACAUGGUCUUACCAAAACUAGUCAGGGGCUACCCCAACAGUCGAAUAGCCUUUGUGCACCUAUAAAUAUAUUUAUUGGAGUUCCAAGGUAUAAUCUUUCCCAUUUGUUGCUUCAACUCAGUCUGGCGACCUCACUCAUUUAAGCAUCCACAUGUACGACAUUGGACUCCCAUGCCCUUUUCUUCUUGCGAUUUUCAUCAUGUAGGCUCUUUUCCAUAAUGAUCUCACUUCCUACUGUCUAGCAACUUGAUCAGCAACUUCAAGAUGGUCUAGAUAUUAUGUGAUCAUUUGACUCGUUAGUCACACUCUAUCCUCCAGUUUUAGUAUAGCGACUUUUAGUUUGGAACUAUCAAGAUUUUUAGUUUGGCCAUGAACAGAACUGAUCUAAACAUGAACUUUAACCCAUUAUACCUAAUAUGCUCUAACCGUUUUUCUACUUACAUAUGCUUAAGGGGCUUUUAGUAAGGUUUUUAAGUUUUUCUAAUUGCUGCCGUGAAUCAAAUAUGCCAUAGCUAGGAUGCAUGUCAUAUCUAUCCUGCAAUAUUGGGAACAAUUCUACAGCUCACUGUAAACGUAGUUUCUAAGAGUUCUGGUUGGUAUGGUGAUUCCAUGGGGAUUUCCUUUGAUAUAUGAGAAUCUCAGUCAAACACUCUUCUCUCCCAUUUCAAUUGGGUAGCUAAAAAAUUCCAAACAGUUGAAAGGACUGGUAAAUUUCAGAUAGACAUAAAAUAUACAUGAAAUCUCCUACGAAACAUAAAAUGUAGACUGAAAUUUAAAAAAUCUCAACUUGGGAUUUCAAAAAUGUAGGCAUGCAAAAUGGAAUAAUCUUGUUGGAACUUGGAUUCCCAUUAUGGUAAUAGUCCUAGGAUUUCUAAUCCCUGUGCUAAAAGAUAUCAUGUGUUGAUUCUUUUCAUCAUUAAUGAGCUGUAUUAUAUUUUCUCUUCAAAGAUUACAUAUAUAUUUUCACCACGAAGUUUAAUCCUCGAUGCCUACCACAUAUGUUUUUUUAUCUAUCAAUAUUUAGAAUAGAUUUUCAUACGAAUGAUAAGUACCUAAAGGAUCCAUUUGCCUGGAACCCUUGGUAGUUACCAACUUUUGUUAUUAUUUCAGGAACCCCAUAUGAAGAUGGCAUAUUUUUUCUUGACAUUGUCUUUCCAUGUGACUAUCCAUUCAAACCCCCAAAGGUAUGUGAAAUUGGACUAAAUAAAAAGACAUCAAAUUGUUGUGCUUUUGUUAGUUUAUGCUUAAUAUUAUUAUACUAGACUUUCUAGCUACAACAUUGUAUUAUUUCAUUCAAUCAUAUUGCAUCAUCAUUUAGAUUCCUCAUUUCCUUUUACUUUUUAUAUACGUUGUUUCUUAACUGUCCAACAUUAUAUUAAUGUACUCACCUGUUAGAGAUAGUUUUAUAUUGGCAAGGUCAAUUUACCUGCCCUAUGAUAUGCUAGACGUUGUCUUUCCCAAUAUCUUCCUCAGUUUUCCUGCUAUUGGAAAGCAAAUCGAAAGCUUUGGAGAAAUGAGUAAAUUGAAUAGGCCAAAGAUGAUGUACAUCUAAGCGCAACAUCUUUAAGUAGGUUUUUUUAAAAAUAGCUUUAUUUGCCAGUAUCACGAUGAGAAUACCAUGCCUCUUCAUUCUUGCAACCUAUUGUAGAUAGUGUAUCCAAGUAUCACAACUUGGGCACAAGUAUUUCUUUAUUAUACUUUUUUUUCUCAUUUUUUGUUUGUUUGAAGCAUAAGCUUAAAAGGGUGCUAUGUCGUUAUUUGCAGAGAUCCAUUCAAAUCUAACAUAAAUUAGUGAGCACCCUUAUACAGUCAGCUUCAUAUGCCUAGGUCCAUUGGUCCAUGCAUCUUCCCCUUGUCAUGUUUUGUGCUUGACAUUUUCUUGUACCUCAUUAGUAAGACCAACCUAAGGAGGUUAUCUAGACCACGAUAGAGAAAAAUAAUUGAGAAGAUAUUAUGAAUAUUUCUACAACAAAUGUAUGCUAGGAUUCCAUUGGUAUAUUGAAUAGGUGAAUCUGUGGAGAGAUGAUUAAUACUCAUAAAAUAAAUCGCACUUUCUACCUCUAUUUAUUUGUUAAUUAAGUAGAAAAUAAAUUAAAAUCAGACAUUGUUUGACAACUACGUUGCUUAGAUGAUUGACACCCCGGUUUAGUCCUACAUUGCAAAUAAAAGGAUAAAUCUAAUUGUACAUAGGGAUAGGGGUAGAUGAGUCUACUACUAUUAGCUUGGGUUUAAAUAAUUUGGAUUAUGUGGCUUUAAGCUCACUAAGUUAAUACAUUUGUCUGUUCAUCAGAACUUGGUGAUAGGCAUGAUGAGAAAUCCAACUAAGAAAGAGCUACUCGUGGACGAGGCUUAAGGCACAUCCCAACAUGCAGCCACCAAGCUACCCCCUUAGGGUUUGCAUCUAGAUGAGUUGGUCUUUAGGCACUUGGGAUUGAUUAUGGACCAUGAGUCAAUCAAGUCAUGCUUUUAUGCGAGGAAUGAUUCAGUCCACAUUGGAAGUAGGAGGAUGAUUGUGAUUGUAUCUAGAUGAGCUUACUUUCCAAAAUUUUGGAUUAAGUAUCUUGACCCACCUGGUUUAAAACCAAUCAGGGUAAUUAAUCAGUUUGUUGGUCGUGACAAUAAUAAUAAAACAGGUCAUUAUAGUUAGAGUAGGAGAAGGAGGAGAUGAGGAGGAGGUAAUCAAGAAGAAAAGGGGAGGAGAGAAGUAGGAGGAGGAGAAUCCCAUGAGUCAGGACAAUCACCGCCCUGUAUCUCAUAUGGACCAUCCCAAAUUAAGUGGUCCAUGUGCUGGUUCAGGUUUGAUCCAGUAUAUACCAAUAAACUUUGACAUAGUUUUGUUGGUAUUCAUUAAAAAAGGUUGUGGUUGAAACCACUGUCUUUAAUGAAAUCAAAACUCUUAUGUCAAUAUCAACAAAAAAGUUGUGGAUGAAAUCACCGCCUUCAUUGAAAUUAGAACUCUUACGUCCAUGUUGAGGCAGAAAUUAAAGCUUUGUACUGUGCUGAUGAAGUCUUAAGUGUGCAAUAGAAUAGCUGGAUUAUAUCCUGGUGCCAUGCUAACACUGGGGCCUUGCAAAUUUGGCAAUUUAUUCAUUUAAGCAUGUAAAGUGAGUAGAUUGUAGUAUAAUUAUAUGCAAACUAGUACUCAGAAAUCUGAUUUAACUUCAUUUGUUUAGUUGAUGAAAUGGAUAACUCUAGAUCCAUAUGUUGAUCUCUUAAGAAGUAGUCUCCAAUUUGAAAUAAUGAUCUGGCUGACCUAUGAAACAGCAUCAAUCAUACACUUUUAAGCAUGACCCAAUGGCUGAUGGAAAAGUCUCUCGGCAUCUAUACAAUUCCAUCCCAAUAAAACUAAAAAAUAAAAACAAAAGAUUCACAAGAACAGAAUUGAUCAUUCACUAGCAAGCAUCACUACAUAAAACUAGCAUAUUAAAAAACUUAGGUGGCAUGGAAAUUUUUUUUGAAAGGGAUGAUUAGGGGUUCUCAUAACACUUCUUUUUAUUUUAAAGGCAAGAUAGAUUAAGGAAGGGGGAUGAGGGCUCUUUUAUGUUUUAUAGGUAAUUUUGUUUUUCUCUCUUCCUUCAUGAAAUAUGCAAAUAGAGAACUUAGUGGAGAAUAUUGCCCCCACUCUAAAGUAAAUGAUCAAGGGAAGAUGAUAACACAGAUACCCUCACUUUCUACCCUUGAUGCAUCUUGCUGCCAUUUGGCAGAAGCUCACAGGAGUGACUAGAGCCAACAGCUGCAGCAGUGGCCCCUUCGUAAGCCUACUGCUGCCAGCAGUGGUGCGGCUUACUGCUUCCUGCAGUGAUGCAACGACCCCUCACAGGUUUAUUGAGACUAGCGGCAGCCCCUCGCAGGUUGUUGUGGCCAGCAACAGCAGUAGCUAAGGGAAGAGAGGACAGUGAAUUGAAGAAGACAAGGGUGGGGAGGAGAGAGAAGAAAAUGGAGGAAAUAGAAGUGGGGAAAUAAGGUGAGGGUAUUUCAUUAAAUUGACAGUCUACUGAUAACAUUAGUAUCAAACAAAUAUGCAUGCAUUUAAUAUUUGGUCAGAUAUAAUUUUAUAUAUUGCAAUUUUCCUUUUAAUUGUAGCUUCAUCGUGCCUCAGCUUCUUUACCCUCUUUGUCUUCGUGUUUGUUGUCUUUUCAUGCUGCUCAAAAAAACUGUAAUGUUCUCAUACAAGGGAAAUUGAUGCCAAUCACAACCAAUGUGUGUUGUGCACCACACAUGUUAUACAAAAUAUAUAUAGUAAUAGCCUCAAAACAGCAUUUGAUAUUCCUUAAAAUUGGUCUCUUCAAUUGUAUUCGAGAUUUCUGUAAAUGCUUCAUUGGCGCAAGAAAUAGAUGUAAUAAACUGCUUGAGAAUCCUGUCACAUAUGCCAUUUUGGUUUUUUGUUUCUGUUAUCUAUGACAAUUUUGGAAUGUUAAAUGGACAGAUAUAUUGCGUUUGAUAUAUCUUAUAUCAAAACCUUUAAAUGGUAUAUAUAUUGCAAAACAGGUAAAUACCAGAAAAGUUCUAUCGUAAUAUAUCUUGUAGUUUGAUCGAGGGUGGCUGAAACUGCUUGUGAGCCUUUAGAUUGUCCAUUUAUUCUUGACUGUGAUUAUCGUAAGCAUCAGUAAGGCUAGCUAUCUAUCUGAUGAAUCACACUCAUGAUCAAUUUGGCUUCAGGUAACAUUUAAAACUCGGAUUUACCACUGCAAUGUUGAUUCGGUUGGCGAUCUGAACCUAGACAUCUUGAAGGAUGCGUGGAGUCCAGCCAUGACAAUCUCGAAGGUUUUACUCGCCAUCAGAUCAAUCAUCACAAAUCCGGUUCCCUGUACGUCAUACGUCAUUUGUUUGCUAGUUCAUCAAGGGCUUAGUUGGAAACGGCAUGAUAUAUUAGCAUCUUUUCAUCAUUUCUGUUCCUUGUUCUCCGCUUUCUUCCCCACAGCAGAUAACCCAGAGAUCGCCGGCAUUACGCAGUUAUACUUGACGGACAGAGCUAAACAUGAUGAGAUUGCAGCAGAGUGGACUAGACGUUUCGCCAGAUAAGAACAUGAGCUAAAUAUGAUGUGAUGGUAUCAUGUAAAUAGUAACUAUACGUUGAGUUUCGUAGAAGGUUGGUUGUAUAUAUAGAGAUUACAACCCACACAAGAAACCAGUUUGUAGAGAGACACUUGUAUGUAGUAUUAAUUUGGUGCCCACAACACGUGAAGAAUUUAUCGAAUUGGAAUCUUACAUGUCUCACUUGUAAUUCCAUGUAAAUGGAGACAAAUGAGUCGUUUCGUUGAUUAUUUUUACCGGUUUCAGAUGGUAUGCAACAAUCUAACUUUCUUCGAACAGUUCAUGUGAUAGGUGAGAUUCAACGACAAAAGAAAGAUUCAUGUAUCCAACUUUACUUCAAACGUUACAUCUUUGUUGUAUUAUAAUCCAUAUUCAUCAGUUCAUGUAUCAAACACUCUAUAUGCACAAAAACAUAGUUCAAAUGUGCCAUAUACCAAAAAAAAAGAAUAGUGUGAUAAAAAUCAAAAAAAAAUAAAAGACGUGCGACCUGCCAAAUUGAGUUGAUGCUUGAUUAUUCCACUUCCAAAUCCUUUUACCUCGAAAGCGGUGGCAAAGAAACCACCUACAUGGCAUUGAAAGAUGAUGGUCGAGCGAACUUGGGCCGAGCUUUAGUGAGAGCCUACAGGUUUAGGCAAAAGAGUCUACUCUCCGAUUCAUGAUCAACUGGGGUUGCUACAGCCAAGAAUGCUCACCUCAAAACGACUAGUAAAUAAACUAUGGCUGAAAUGAAUCAAGUAGGCAAACAAACUGAUCUUAGAGCAGCAAACACUAAUAUAGAGAAGUCUUAAGUUGACAAAUCGAGAAAGAUCCAAACACUAAUAUAGAGAAGUCUUAAGUUGAACAAAUCGAGAAAGAUCCAACUGAAUCUAUCCAUUCCCUAAAAACAACACUUGGGCGUAAAUUCCCUCUCCUCCAUAAGCAGAGAAAAAGCAAACGAAAGAAUAACCAGAAAAAAAAAAGGACAAAAGGAAAGACAGUCCAUCAGAAACGAUACACGCUGCUGCCGAAGCUGAACCAUAGGCCUCACCGCCUCCAACAAACCCUGUUACAGUUGAAUGACGUGAGACGUACAGCUUUCAACAUCAUUAUACAUCUAUUCCUUCCAAACCAACGGAACUCAGGCAGCUUGGAGUAAAAACUGAUCCUAGGAUUGGAAAUGUCCACAACCACAGCCCCACUUUUGGCGAGAAGCACUUGCUGUGAAAAAGUCAUGAACCUAGCCCUCACAUUCGCUGACUCACAGAAAGUAAUCGGGAGUUCUGCGAGUCACAUCCGGCUCUCCUCUUCUGGGGGCUGGCUCAAACUGCAACAGAAACACCAAUCAACAAGAGGUCAAAUCCUAAAUAGUUUCCAUCCACAAAGACAGCCGGAGUUGCCAGGAGAAAUACAAGGUUUUGAUUGAAUUGUUAGAACUUCACAAAAGCAAAGAACCAUGCUGCACUGAUAUGGGAAACAUGCACAUGAAAUAGAACUCACCCUGCAGACACCUGCUUGGUGGUGCCCGUCAGGUGUAGGAAGUUUCGCCUAAACACAACUCUAAAUUUAACAUUUUCCCAAAAGACAUUGUUGGAAAUCAUCAUGGGACCUUACAUAAGCCUAAGCCCACAACUAGGAUUUGAUUAAUAGUGUUCACUGUCUGACCAGGCACAAAGGCAACUAAAGACUUUCUUUUACAAAGCUUAGUAACCCAUUUGGUUCUACGUUAUGGAUCCUUGAUUCACCUACAUGCCCAUUCUGGCACAAUAUUGAUACGAGUAACCAUUAAAUAUCAAAUACAUACAAAGUAAACAUGUACAAACAUACACAUACACAAGCAUUUUGUCACACAAUACAUAAAUAUAUAUAUAGAGAGAGAAAGAUCUACCUGGAUGAAAGUAUGCCCCUUGCAGUCAUCAACUUCCAAGAUGGAGGCCAUAUUCCCACACCGGUAGCAAUAAUUUGGAGCACUAAAUAUAGUAACUACCUUUUGGUCCUGUUUUAGGCAAUUGAAUUAUCAAUUCAGUCAUUGAACUUCCAAGAAGUCAAUGCAAAAACAACAUAAUAAAAAAAUUAGUUACAUGUCCCCAGUUGUAUCCUUCCAUGACUAAUUGAUGUGCUCUGGCUAUCAGCUUAAGGUUAUUGGUAUGGUUGAACUGCUCUGAUAUAUCCUGAAAAUACAAUUACCUGAAGCUGCUUAAUGCAAAGACAGGACAUUGCAACCACAAGGAAAGAAAAGGUCUUGCAUUAUACUUGGCCAAAGGUAUAUCCUGCACCCCGAGGAGAAAUACCCCAACCACAUCUGUCAUCAGGAUCAGACCAUAAAAGGUCACACAUAGGCCCCUCAUGUGGAACCUCUUGAACACGAUCAAAGUUACGGAUGUUAUCAAGAGUUUCAAUAGAUGGAGACAAUCCACCAUGAAGGCAAAAUAUUUCCGAUUCAACCUACGCAGACAGUGAAAAAAGAUAUUCAAGUCAGUCAAUUUCAUGAGUAAUGACUCGACGAUCAAGAAAUCAUCACCAGCUAAUAUGCAUCGAGGCAUAAAUACUCGGACCAUACAGGGAAAACUCAGAUACUCAUGAAAAUCAUUGCACACAUUCACAUUAUAAAAUCAACCCUUAUGCAGACUGAUUUUCUGCAAUGGAGAACUAAUGGAACUCCUAGCAUCAACAAGAAAACCAACAUGAAUUUAAUUGAUAAAACACCUUGUAUCAGUAACUUGAGGUAAAUUAACCAUCAUAACAGAAGAAAAAAUGACAUACAAAACAGUAUAUAUACGUCCAUCCACUAACUAGGCAUAAAGGUUGAUCUAAAUGUUAAAAAAAUCAAUACUUGUGAUAAUUUAUCUUAGUUGGCAUUAAAUGUUCAGAACAAUUUCAACAAAAAGAUUAAAACAAGCUUCCAACCCAUAUCAACCAUUUCUUAGGAAGCACUUUCCAACACACAAAGCUGCGACAAAUCCACAUGUUGACAUCAUAUACAAAGAAGUCAUUGGAACAUGUUGAUUAAAUACAGUUUUUUCCAACACCAGGAAUAAAUCAUAAAAAAAAAAGGGUUCUAGUAUUAGCUUAGAGUUGUUGCACAUCCAAAUCAAACCAAAAAUUUAGCAGAAAACUGCAUGAUAGUGGCAUCCAGAAUAAAUAUCCAUUGCCAGGAGCUAAUAGGAAUAGUUCAAGUACAAACCAGUGCUGUCAAGGGGAAGUAAUCAAACAAAUCUGUAAAGAUCUUCCAUACAUUUGCAUUACCAUAUCUGCAAUUAAAUAAUGCAGGAAAAUAUUGUAAGGAACAGAUAGUUAAUACAAUUACAUGUAAAAACCAGAACAGGAUUAAAUUGAUUUCUCCUGAUUUAGAAGUACAUUAAGGUUGCAGAUCAAGAUGCAUCGUGGUUCUACUUCGAGAAAACAGAACUCGCAAAGAUUCCAUGACAAUGAUGAAUUUGGUACUAAAAUCACCAUAUACAAGUUGCAUACAGAUAGAUGCUCCACUAGCUUGACUAUGAUUGGAUCAAUGAGACCUUAACCAUACUAACCCCUUCUAAAGCAACUCUACUCUUGCCUUAAAACUGGGGGGUGUUAUAGUUGUAUAUCCAUUCCCACAAUUAAUGACCAAUUUGCUAUGUUAUAUUCAUUGGUCCAACAACAGUUUAUAUGACUGACAUAUCUAAUUAUUGUCAUUACACUAAACGAAGUCCCAUAAAUUAUAGCAUAUAAACUGGUCAGUGGUGAAAAUGCCAACAGCAUCAAGAGUUGGCAUCUGGAAACUAUUGAUGCACUUACAAAACUUUUAAUGUGUUCCUGCACCACGCUCUUGCUCUAAAAGUCCUCAAGCCUAUGGCUUCACAGCAGCACUAUCUGCACGUGCUGACACUGACUACAGAACAAGUAUCAACAAAUAAGUAUAGCAGAAUGCAAACAGCAUAGCCCCGUAUCAGGCCUAGCAGUUAUCAGUUAAUAUAGUUUACUUGUCUCCUAGGCAAAGCAAUUCUCAAUUCUUCAGUCAACAAUCUUCAGUCAUUACUCCUAAGGGAAAACAACCAAUUCUGGGACACAGCAUGAAGCACCUGUGACCUAUACUGUGCUUAAAGAUGUCAUGGAAGUAUUGAUAAACCUGGUGACAUAUACUGUGCUUGUAGAACAAGAAUAUAACUACAUGACUGCACUUUGCAGUAAACUACUAAAAUAUAAUUAUAAUUAUAAUUGGCCCAUUUAAAAGUUUAUAAAAUUGUUUUUGAAGGAAAAAUGUUAGGAAAUAUGGUACUGCAUAUCACGCACAUACCAUGUUGAAGAGAUAUCAACCUUGCACGAUAAUAAUAUCAAUCAUAACAGCUGCAGUAAAUAGCAUUACUCUAACAGCUGGAAAUUGUGUAUUUCCAUAAAUGCACAAUAUAAAGACUAAAAAGAAUAAAAAUGCCUCCGUCAUCAGAAGAACUCUGUUAUUUUAAUCCUUGUUCUCCAUCAGUAUAGUACCACAUGGAAGAAACUAAAAACAUGUCACACAGAAGGAGGCAGUAUCAUUUUUCAUACAAUGGCAUGCAUUUAGAGUGAAUGGAACUAGACCAAAAAAAUGUUGACUACAGUUCACUUGUAUCUACUCUUUAUAAAUUACAGAUAAAAACAAGGAUCAUUUAUCAAUAAUAAAAAUCAGUCUUUUGAAUCUUUUAAAAGAAACCAUUUGUUUAAAUAGGUCCAGGCAUGCACUGAGCAGAGUAAAUCUAGCAUGUUCCUACCAUAGGACCACUAGAUACAGCUGGACGGUUGGUUGGUGACUGGUCUACAGACCAAUAGGGUGAUUCCUAAACAUGGAGCUUUGUUCCCCAUGGAAUUGCAGGACUCCCCCCAAACCCAGCUGGUGUUGAAGAACUUUUAUUCAAAUUCCAAACGAUGGAGAAGCUGACGUCUGGCUUGCUCAAAUAUAUAGGUUGUGGAGCUAAUGCUAAUGUCGGGUAGGACAAUUGGUUAUUUGAUGCUCUUAUUGCUUUAAAACCUACUUUUCUAAAUGUGAAUGCUAGUUGGCACAUAUUCAUGUAGCUGAUCUCCUUUAAGAUGGCUCUUGGGCUUAUCAUUUAGUCCUGUGGCAAUGAGUAGGAUUAUUGAUGUCAAGGUUCUAGAUCUUGCUCUGGUACCAAACCAGGCCACACAUACCAUGUGUUGGCAAAUCCUAAUCUGACAAGCAUGGCUCGAACUGGAAGAAGAGAAAGCAGAUAAGGAAGAGGAGCAGAAAGCGGUGCAAGAAGACAACGCCAAGGAAGGGGAGAAGAGGUGGCAUGCGUAUCUUAAGGAGGAGAGGACGUGGUAGGAUCAGUGAUUUAAAAAACGCUAGGCGCCAAAAAGCGCCAAGGUCCAAAAACGCCUGAGGCGCUAGGCGCUCGCCCGAGCGAAGCGAGACGCUAAAAUAUAAAAAUAUAUAAUAUAAUUAAUAAAUAUAAUUAUUUAAAAUUUUAAAUUAAAAUAUGCUAUUAAAUUAAGAAAAUCUAUUAACAGUAUUGAAAAUUAAUAAUUUCAAAUAAACCUAACAAUAUUAACAGUAUACAGUAUAUUGUUAACAAUAUACUGUAUACUAUUAACAGAAGGAGAAGAAGGAAGUGUAAGGGGGUGCUGAGCCUACUGAUUGAGAAAAGAGGAAGCGGCAGCGACAGCGGAGUGUAAGGAGGCAGCGGCAGUGACGAGCGACAACAACGGCAGCGACGAGCGGCGACAACGGCAACGACGACAGCGGCAGCGGCGACAGCUGCAGCAACAGCGGCGAGCAGCGGGAGCGGGAGCAAGAGCAGGAGCGGCGAGCAACGGGAGGCGUGAGCGGCGACAACGGCAGCGUUUGCGAGCAGCGAUAGUGGCGACAGCAGCGACAGCGGCGAGCAGCGGGAUCAAGAGCAGCAGCGACGUGGGUUAGGGUUCGGUUGUCACUUAUAGCAAUUUUAGUUGGUUCGAUUGAACCAACUAACCAUCGGAGACCGAACCAGGACCGAACCAGAGCUAAAAUCCUGGUUCGGUCGCCUUGGUUAACCCAGGCGCUCGCCCGAAGCACCUAGCGCCUGGGCUCGGUCGCCUUGGUUAACCCAGGCGCUCACCCGAAGCGCGUCGCCUGGGAGAUUAGCGAGGCGCUCGGGCCUCGCCUCGACUCGCCCGAGCACCUUGGCGAGCGCCUUUUUAAAUCGCUAGGUAGGAUGACAGGAUAUGGAGGAGAAAAUGGCAACAAGAAGACAAGGAGGGGAAGGCAAGUACCAGCAAUAGUAUGAUACCAUAGUGCACACCCAGAGCAACCCUCAAUCAUUUAUCUGAAGAAGCACAAUAAUAUCUGAACUUGUGUUUGUUUCUGUGUUUGACAUGGUCAAAACCAAAGCUUAUUUCAGGUCCCAAAAAGAAUUAAAAGUUGCAGCAACUUGACUCUCGGAUGUCAAAUUAAAAUACAACUCUCAAGUUAUUGAGAGAAAUAGAGGCACAGGGCAGAACUACAUAUAACUGUCAGCCUAAUUGUUGCCUUUUACAAUAGAUAGAAACUUGUCACUUGUAAUGUCAGAUCACCAAAUUCCUAUGCAGCACUUGUACAUUUUCCUUCCUGUUAUAAGACUCAAAAAUGAUUAUCUUAUUGUUUCCAGAUAGAAGCCCAAGAAAAACAAUGCCACUAGAUUGACACUCAUCAAACUGAAUCAUGCCACUUGGAUAUCAUUGCAUUGCCUUACGCUUCUCAGAAGAUACUGCUUAGGGUACAUACAUACUGCAGAAUUCCCCAGAGAUGUCUUGGUCUGACUGCAGUGCAUCAAUAUGCUUGUUAAAGUGAUACAGAUAUGCCAAGUCAAGUAUAAUGCCAUCUUACAUGACCACAGACUGCUGUUCAAGACAGCAACAAAUGAUGAUGAUAUGACAGCAAAAGUCUUUUUCUACAACCUAAAGCUCCAUCAGCAGAUAAACACAUUUUCUAAGAUCAUUACAUGAGACCAACAAUAGCAAUAUCUACUAAAUAGCGUACAGACCCAUAUUCUAAUGCAAGGGAACUACUACCCAAACAAACAUUAAAAAUUGAUUCAAAAAGGUCAAUCCAUUUUGAUGUCGAAAAUAGAACAAACACAUACACUAGUUAUAUUGAAAAAACUACAUUUUCCAUAUGCGCAUUCUUCACAUAUAAACAUGUUUAAACUUUAAACUAUGAAUUCUGGUACAGAGUUACCGAAAGGAAAAAAAAUUGUAUCGAUGAUCCUGAUAAAAGUGAGCAAAAAAUAGUGUAUUAGUUAGGAAGAUGAACAAUUGGUUCCACAAAAGGUGAGAACUUACUUUCUUAAGCAUUCAUCAUAAAAUCCAUAAACUUGUGUAAUCUGCAAUGUGAUGCAAUAGUAUUUAGUUUAGAUCUAUAAGGAAAAAAAAUUAAGACAAAAAAAAAGAUAUGCUGAUAUAUCUAAUCUCCAGUGCAGUCAAUUUGAUUUGGUUCAUUACAAAAAAAUAUAUCAAGCUACAAAAAUAUAGACCCAAUAAUGUCAGCAAAAAUAAGAAAGAAAUGACAUGUACCUGACGACUCUCAUGAUUUCCUCUAAGAAUAGUGAUUCGCUGAGGAUAUCGUACCUUGAGGGCCACCAAAAGCUGGUCAUACCAAUCAACAACAUGUUAUAUACAAGGAUGUAAAGUUACAUAAACAAAUAAACAGAAUGUUCUAACAGAAGCAAAGAUGUGCAUCCCAACUAGAAAAUUUUAUUCAUUUGAGUUCAAUACUUAGAAACAUGGCACACUGUAACAUUCAACUCAGAUGGCAUAAAAUGAAUAUAGCUUAUCAGAGAACUUUGAAGAUAAAAUUCAAAUUUCUGGGAUUCUAUCCUCAUGAAAAACUUAGCUUAUACCAUGGUCCCAGCACAAGGUCAACCAUAUGUUCAAGAGCAAGGUCAGUAGAUAAAUUGCCUCGAACCACAAAUUUCUAGAACUUCACAAGAAAACAAUAUCUUGUUUCAAUAUGAUAUUACCAUUUAACUUUGCCAGCCACACCAUUCAAGGUUAAAAACAAAGUGGCAAACAUAGAGCAAUUCAAGUACAUAAAUGCAUGUACAGACACAAAAGUAACGCCACAGAGAGGUACCAUUGAUCACCAUGUCAUGCAAAUCGAUGAUUAGGAUUAUAUAGAGUAGCAUGUAGAUAUACCUGAAGCGAAGCAACUAAAUGAUGUAUAUUAGGAAUGCCUGUAAUGGAACAAUGGCAUCAUCAAACAUGAACAUUUAUUCCAUGUUGGGACACGUACCAGUAUUAAAAAAAGAAGAAAAUCAACCUAAAAAUUAAUAGAUCUCUACAACACUAGCAUCCACCUAUUUCAAGUCAAUAGCAUUAAAGUUUUUUUAACAUGUUUUCUACAUGCUAAACAACAUAAGUUAGACAUAGCUGUCCCACACAAUAAAAGAAACAACAAGUGAUGCCUUUGAUCAAAUACUAAACUUGGAAGUGGCAACAGGUAUAUCACAACAUUCAGUAGUUCCUAUGAGGCACGUAUUUUGACACUACAUAGCAUACAUGCACAACAGAAAUAGAACACUUGCAGCAUCUACAAUAUUGCAUGGAGAGUAGAUUGUAAAAACCUUCUAAAGCUAAUAAGGAAUGCAAAAAACUUGUAUUUCCGAAGUAACUGAAUUGAAUAAGAAGUUUCUAUGCCAUCUAAUGAUGCACAUCAUGGACUACUUAUCAUCUUCUGUUUGUAUUUUAAAAAGUCUUUGCACACGUAUAUACAUAUAUGGACAUGAAUCUCUUUGUAUAUUGUAAAAAAUAUCUAUAUUAUGUUUACUCUUUUGACCAUUAAAACUUUGGUUUUUUGUCAAAGGAUGGGUAAAAUCUGCACACAGCUUGAAUUUUAAAACCUUGGUCCUGAUCAAAGUCCUGUACUUGACUGACAUCUAAGCAAAAUAAUCACAAAUGUCCCUAUCAACCAUAAGACAUACUUCCAACAAGAGCAAAUAAAUUUAUAACCAUAUCAUCAGCAUCAAUAUCCUGAAAUAGAUGGGAAGACAACCAACAAAUAACAAGAGGACUUAAUAUUAACUUGAAAAAUCAAUAAAGAAACUGAUUAAACUAUUUCAAAGUGAAACAAAACAAGAGAUAUUUUUUCUUUACUACUCAUAACCGUAUAUCAACAGCUCACUUAAGAAAUACCAUUAAACCAUCAGUUAUAUCAACCCAUAAAAAAUUUAAGUUUUUUUAUCUUCUUAAAUAAAGACCAAAUGAGAGUGCCUCUUUACAAAUUCAUGAGAAAGAAUAGUAAAGUCUAAUAUUAUAAAGUUUUAACCUCCUAAGACAAGCAAUACAUUUUUUUAAUUAGACUCCAGGUUACCAGUAUAUUUGUCAUGUAUAUGCACAACUAUAUUAAUAAUAUGAGCAUAAUGAACUGAUAAUAAGUAUAUGAUAAAUUAAUGUUGACUCAGGACUAUUUUGAUUACAAGAUAUAGAACCAUUUCAUCAGCAUGUACUAUAUUAAAAUGUAGGCCUUCAUAUCUUAACAGACUAAAAAGUCUGUUGGCUUACAAUUGAGAAGUUCAUAACUACUUGAUAUAACCAUGGGUUGUUAGUAAUAUAAUUUCCUUUACACUAAGUUGUAUUUCCUAAGUUAAUACUCUAUAGUUUCUAAUUUAUAACACUCCUGAAGUGCCUCUUAAGCUGCAAUUUCAGCCAAAUGUUGAGCACACAAUUUGCAAUUAUCUGGAACACAGCAUACCCCAUCCUCUUGUCAGUACAUUGCUCGAAUAUUAUCAUUGACACAGUAUUGAAGCAUAUGCUUUGCUAUACAUACCUUAUUUCAGCCCAUAACAGAAUUUUUGGAGUUAGAAAAUAAUCCAUGAUAUUUCAAUACCUGAAAUAACAUUUGUAUAUUAUCGAUUUCUAGUUAAAUCCACUAUAUUGCAAUCGAGAUCCCAUCUCCUUUGACUCAAAAAUAAUUACAGCCCAUAGCUACAACAUCCCAUGAAGCUAAUUCCAGCUUCAACUCCCUUCAUCCUCCACUGAAGAACACCUCAUCAUUUACAAGGAGCAUUGGCAGUGACACUAACAAGAGACCAAAAAGGUCCGAGGUUCCUUCUUGCCCUAUAAACACACAAGGAAGAUGCUGAUGAUCUGUUUGGGAGAAAAAGAAAAUGUUAACAUUCACGAGCGCACCAACAAUAUCUAACUGAUCACUUCUUACAAACAAAAUAUUGUUUCAUAUUUUGUGAAAUAUUUACAUUUAACAAAUGUAAUACCAUGUUCUUAGUUCACAAAUUAAUGCUACAAAGUCCUAAUUAAUGCCCUGAAGUCAAUUUGAUAUUCAUCCAUGAACACUGUGCACCCAUUUGUUUUUUUAAUGUAUUGAGAACCUCUCACUACAGUAUGUAUACUCCUAGUGAUUGUUAAUCAUAAAAUAACUAUUAGAAAGUUAAUUGCCAUUCACAGAAUAACAAUUAGAAAGCUCUUAGUACCAUGAUGAAUGGUACAAAGUCAAGACAAGUAAUACUAUAAAUCAAUAUAAAGAACAUAAAUCAACUUGACCCUCUAUUAUCUCCAGAAGAACUAUUGAGAAAAUAAUCAAAAUUCUAGAAACUGACAUUGAUCAAUUAAUCUUUCAUGUCACUGUAGCAUGAAUCCUGUGCAAUGCAUAGGUUGACAGCUAGUUUGAAAAAACUUUAUGAACGCGGUCAUCUAUAUAUCCAAUGCAUAAUUGGAACAAAGGAAAUUUUAUGUAAUGAGAUAUUUCAAGAAAAACCACAUGGAAAGUUAUGGGUAGUAGCACAAGGUAGUUGAAAAUUUGUUUACCACUCCAUGUCAAUAGCUACAUACUAUACUGACAUGGAAGUGACACAUGAAAUAGGUAAAUUUUUUCUUUUUACAACUUGAUGAACAUGUUCAUACUUUCGCCCGAUCAACUUGCUUGGCUAAGAUAAAGGACAUAAGUUCAAUAAACUUGCCUUAUGCUGGGCUCAUGGUUUUAAUCAAGGCAAGGUGUCUAAAUCAAACCAUGUCACGACCCUCAAAUAGUCACUGACUCUGUAUUCCUUUUGGUCAGAGGAGGUUGAGACUUUGAAAUAGUCCAACUAAACAAGGUAUUUUCUCAUUUUUCUCUCCUUUUCUUUCUUUCUCCUAGUUGCUUUUCUUUACACUUUAUUAUCCUCAGACAUACCCAUGCCAACAUGGCUAUUCUACAUACCAUACCAACAGCAGUGCCUAGUGCUAGCAGCCAAAGGCAUUUCAAUGGAAGGGAGAUCCUUGAUAAUACCUACUUUUAACUUGCAAUUAAAGCUAACAAUAUCUCCACAUGUGCAAUGUACAUGGAAAUGUAGCGGAAAUCAUUUCUUUAGUGUUCUUGUUUACAAUUCACAGAAUAUAUCUUACCGAGACGAAUGCUUAGGAUUAUAUCUACCAAUGACAAUGACCUUAAGUGCCUAAUCCUGAAUAUAUGAAUUAUGAAGGUUUUCACAUUAUAUCUAGAAAUGCAUCUAUGAUGUAACCAACAAAAAUCCAAAGCAUGGUUUCUCCGACCAAGGACCAGUACCAUACAAUAUAGCUCAGUAACGGUCAAUAGUCUUAUUUUAUGAGAUCAAGUGAUACAUGGUAGUAUACCAUCCGGUGUUUAGAUACCAUACUGAUCCAACAACUUAUCAAAAUCAAGAUUGAACCUGUAUUUAAAACCUUGCUCCAAAGUUUUAUUGAAGACAGAAGUCAAGCAAAUUUUACUUCUUUGCUACAGGAAGCAACAUGUAUCAGAGGCAUAAAUGCCAAAGAACUUACAGAAGGCAACCAAGAACACUUGCUGACAAGCAAAGCACAUAUAUGUAAGCAUGCAUCAUAUAAGUGUAUGCUUACAAGCAUUCUCCAUGAUUACAAACAAAAAUUGCUUUUGAUAAAACAACGUAUCCAACAUCUUAAUAAAAUCAGAACUGGUUGUCUAUGCUAGGUUUGAAAGAAAAAGCUUCCUGCCCUGGAAGCAGUGUAGUCAUGCAUUCUAAUAAGAAAAUGGCACAAUUUUUGUCUAUUAAAGUCAGUACCCCAGAUAUGUAAUGAAUUCAAAUAUUACUUGCAAUAACAGCAUAACAAAUAGUAUAGUCUAUAGUUGACAGCAAAAUAAGAAAGGAGAAAUUUUCUUACCGUAACAGUUUCAACAGAAUAGUAUCCACGAUCUACAUAAUCGCCCAUAAAUAAGUAAUUUGUAUCUGGACACUAUCAACAAUAGAAAGGUAUCAUCAAUCCCACAGCUAGAUUUAGAAGCACAACUUGUACUAUCUAUCCAGAUACCUAAAUCACAUAGUUUCAUCAUAUUUAAAAAUAAUAGAAGUACAUACAAGCAGAGCAGCUAACAAAAUGUAGUACCUUCCCUCCAAUUCGAAACAGUUCUGCAAGAUCAUGAAAUUGCCCAUGAAUGUCACCACAUAUCGUCACAGGACUCUUCACGGGCUGCAAUGAAGUAAAUUACGUCCGUUAACCUGGCCCAAAAAUUAUUCAUCUAUUUCAUCAGUGUAAGAAUGGGAAGAUGCACCUAUUUAUAGAUCAGAAGCUACCAGAAACAAAAGCAAUCACAUGAAAAGCAAAACUUAAAGGCAUACAAGUUGAUGAUCGAGAGGAAAUCACUAUCGAGCAUGUCUGAUGGGUUCAAAUCGCAUGCUUGAAAAUAACAUUCAUAAUUGAAUUAUAACAGAGAUCUGCUAGCAGCAGUUGACUGCCCUCACAAAUCUUUUCAUUGAUCAGGGCUACUUAUAGGUUUGCAACCUUGUGCGGUACCUAUGAGACAACAGAUUGAAUGUAGGCCUCCCAAAAUGUACUAAAGGCAAGCAAAUGUUUCCUCCAUAUAAUUAGAUGAUGGUUCAAUGAAACUAGGGAACUUGUUUCUUACAAAAGUCUACAAUGUUUAUUUUUAUUUCAAGUUAGGUUGAAGCGUAAUGAAAAAAAUGAUAAAUUUAAUUCCAAGACUUCUUCCAAUAAAAUAUAGGGUAAGUCUUAGUGGACCACAUUCAAAAAUUCAAGUCACAAAAAAACUUAUUUUCUUGUAAUGUUAAGCUUAUGAACAAAGACCUUCCCCAAAUCCCAUAUUGGCGGGAUCCGCAUGUGCUAGACCACCAGUUUACUUCUUCAAAGUAGAUGAACAAGACAUUCAACAAAAUAAGGUUAUAUGUAUCACAAAACCAAAUAAUAUUAUGGUAGCCAGUGUCUAGCAAACAUUAUAAAGAAACCAAAUCAAAACAGCAAAAGUACCCAAUGUGACAGGAAAUAAAAAUAAUCACAGAUUAAAGAAGAAUAACGCAAGGACUCCCAUUAAUAUAGGCAAGAAAUGCCUAAUUAUUAGCUCCAAAUAAGUUAAGAGAACUUUGAACCGAAAGAUCUUAAAAUCAACUUAUUUUAGCAGAUAAUUGUGAAAAACAAGGCAGCCAAAAUAUUUGAAGCUAAAAUCAGGAUUAUGAACUUGAAAGCAUCUGAAAGGAAAAAAAAAAAGUGGAAAAUUUAGAGCUGCCAUUUUCUAAAAUAUUAAAUGAUGAAGCAUUUGAACACACUAAAAGUACAUUUCUUUCAUAAAGGGACGUAAUAAAGGAACAAAAAGGCUAAUUUAAAUUCUUUGACCCUUAACCAUAAUUCAUCAGCAUUCAGCAAGCUAACAAAUCAGAUACUUUUACUGUCAUAACAACUGAACAAACCCGAACCGUAUCUUAAGAAGCUAUCAUGAAAGUUGAAGGUCCUGCCACCGCCAGCCAACAGGCAAAGUGCUCAGACUCCUUUUAUCCAGAAAUUUAUAGAAACAAGAAAUCCUGUGAUCAAUAUAAAAUUGGUCAAUAAGUAUGUCUUACCUGAACAUUGCUUUCUUCCAUCAAUACCUCUUUGGCCUUCUCACACAAAACCCUAACCUAUAUGACAAUAUUAUUAUUAGAUCUCGAGACAAAGUUCAUGAUCAAAACCACAAUUCUACCAAUAACUCAUAAAAAAAUGCAGAAGUCAUAAUCAGAUGUGUAAUGUACAAAACUGAAACAAAUUUGUCUUACAUAUUUAUACAAUUAUUCUUAAGUGUUAGCCACAAGGGACAAUAAUAGAUACAAGAAAUUUGCUUCCACAACAGACAAAAUAGACAAUUAGAAAUGCAUAUAACAAAUUUAAGAAAAAACUUUCUUAUGGCCAUUGCAAGCCAGGGACCACAAUUUUGAUGUAUUUACAUGCACAUCUAAAGUGCAGGGAGCAGGAAGAAGUUCAGUGAACUAGGAAAACAGUCCAUCCUGUAAUCUUAAAAUAUUUUGGGAUGUAAAAAACAGCAUGACUUCUGAAGGGUCACAAUCAAGAAGGUAAGGGAAGACAAAAGAAAAAGGAAAAGGAAAAUAAACUUGGUUCUCAAUUUAGACAAGUUCCUGCCAGACUCAAGCAGUUGAUCAAAAGUUUGGAAGAUGCAAAAAAAUCAACACAUUGAUGGUCUAGAACAUAAAAGUUGAUGCUUAGUUUUUUGUAGAAAGAUUGAUCUAAUCUUACCUAUCUUUGCUAAUCCAUGGGUCAUCACAAAACUAAGGCAAGUGUCUUAGCCAUCACCACCCACGUCCGCAUUUCAGGUUCAUGCAAGAGAUGCCAACUCUCGAUAAUCCUUGAGUAACCAAUGCAGCAAGAAUGCCAUCUUUUCUUUAUUUCCAAUUAAUAAUUUGAAAUUACAUAUAAGAAUUAGCAUGCUCAUUUAUCUGUAGCCUUAUACAGGUGUGCCCAUCUAUUGCAUAUAGGCAUGAGUUCUCUAUCUGUAGAUAUAUGUUUCUUCCAAUUCAUUAGUAUGCAUUUCCUUUUACAAAACCUCAUUCUGAACAGUUUUCUAUCUUUAAAAACAUUAUUAAAGCCAAAAAACCUUAUCAAUCAGAGUCCUUAUUGCAUGAAUUAUGACAAUGAACGAAGCACUAUAAAUUAUGUGAGACAUAAACCAAUUAACUCGAUAUCAUUUCUCACAUUUAACAAUCUUAAAUUUCCUUAUACCUUGCAACUGAACAACAAAAUAAUAACUGAAUAAAAUACAUUAUCCCAACAGAUCAACCAUAUGUCUCUCGUAUAAAUCGUUAGGCGUCUACAAAGGAAAAAUAACUUUGAUCAGAUCCAGCAUAGGAAACCAAAUGUCCACAGAGAAAAGGCCUAAAUUCCUCGGAAAUACUACCUAUUUCUUUGCAAAACUAGUAUUCCUAGAUCGUACACUAAGUCCCUAAAUUUCUAACAGAAAACACAUCAACCGACCCUGAUCCGUCGAGAUCCACGGGGAUUCGACUACCAUAACCAGGAUCAAACAGCAACCGCCCAUAAAAUAAGCGUUUAAACACAAUCGUACAGCGAUCGGAUACGUCGAGAAAGAACAACCUCCUGCUCGGAGAGCGGCUUGCACUGCAUGAGCUGCUCGAUCUGCUCGUCGAGGUUCCCAUGGCGGGUGGGCGCCGGCAACGCGUUUGCGCUCAUCUUCCUCUCCUCUGCAGCCCGCGGGACGCCACGGGACGCGAAAAAAACCCUAACCCUAGAUUUCUUGGUCGCCUCCCGGUUCCAAGGCCCUCCCUUUCCCUCCUUUCCCUUACAGAAAUCUUUCCUUCCCUCGAAGGCGAGAAAUGGCGGAAGAGCCAAAAAGAAAAAGUAGGGGAAGAAGAGUGAAUUAAAAGAGGAGGAAAUCAAUCGAUCCUUCGUCCAUUUAAUCGUGUCGGGGAGAGGGUUGGAGAACUAAAACUGUGUUCCCCGAAUUGUCAAGGGAUUAGCUGUAUGGGCCUCAAGCAGCAUUAGAGUUAUGUUAUGCGGUGGCAAAAUUUCAGUGGUGAUUCUUAAACGUCCGUCGCGUGCGUCUUGUCUUUGGAUGGUUAAUUAUCGCGUAGGCUGCUCGGAAGGACAUUGCUGAAGAGCUGCGCAUGGCGAUAUUUACAGUUUUGCCAUCAGUGGAAUGUACGCUUGAUGAUCUACUACAGCUUCUCCUCUUACAGUCAUCUCACCUGAAUUAAUUAGACAUUAAGAUCAAAAUUGCAUCAGUAUGAGAGAUUGUUCUUUUUGUUAACAAUGAACGGUAAGAUCAUGAAAUGCUUAGAUUCAUGGAUGUUUCUACUAUAAAAAAAGUUAUUUCGACCUUUGUUUAUCAUCCAUGAACAAAUAUGUGGUGAUUGAAUGGUAGGAUGCUGAUACAUGUUAACAAAAUAGUUAAGUAUAAAAUAUCAAUAAUGUGCAACAAACUUAGUCAUCAGAUUUGGUGUAUUUUGCUCUUUUUAUUCAUCGGUAGAUUUGACCUAAUUUUGUCCUUUAUUUGGCAUCCAUGAACAAACUAGUUCUUAAAUAGGGCAAAGAUAUAUUCUCUACUCUUAUCUAUAAAACUUACCCCAGCGUUUGUAUCUGAUGAUGUCAAACGAUACGAGUAUCAUUGUACUCUCAUUUUAUCCAUUUUAUAUUGGUCAAAACAGAUAGUCUCAAAAGUGGAUUCCUUUACAAGUAAACGAGCGACUCAAAGAGAAAAUGUCUUGUAGUAGUUAGGGUUAACUACAUAUUACCCUAGUUAGUUACCUUUAGUGUUUCGAUCUCUAUACCUUAAAAAGUUAUAUUGACAUCUCUAUAGUUAUGAAAAUGAAAUAUCUAGAUUUAUUUGUACUAAUGAUAUCAGUUUUACUAAUGGGUAAAAAAAUAAUUUUAACAUUCGACGACGGAUGAUAGCAUCGCGAGCGUCAACGCCAAUGCAGUUGCCUAGCUGCCUCUAAUGACAAUAAGGUAUGCUCUCACCACGAUAUCACAUGCCUCCACAAGGAGUGCAUCGCUCACCCCUCGCCGAUGUAGAUGGUGAUUGCUGCUCCCCAUUCCCCGCUCUUCUACCAUCUUAUUAUCUUAGGAGCAGCACCUUGAAAUUCUCAAAUCCCUCCCCCACCCAUUUGCAGCUAACGAUGCCUCUGCACACCCCUUCCUCCCCCCCUCUCCCCCGGUUUGCUCCCACUUAAAACUCUCCACCACGCACAAGAAGUACUCCAUCGCCACCCCCGACCCAUUCAUGGUCGUGUUCGACCUCUACUCCAAUAGCCUCCCAUAUGAUGACGAUGACAUGGACGAGCUCUGGUUAGUGCUUGAUGCCACGCCACAUAGGAUGUAAAUUAAAAUCCAUUGAUUUCUUUCUUCCUCCAUCUCCAAUGCAUUCAUGAGAAAUUGAUGAUGGAAAAAAUAAAAAUAAUGAUCUAUUAUUGUUCUUCACCGUGUAAUUAACGAAUCAUCUCAUCGUUGUUCAUUCUACAGCUCACUCAACUACCUGCUAGGAAACAGUGAUUAUGGUUGACCGCAUCCACCUCGUGCAAUCGAAACCUACCAGCAGACUGAUACCGGACCCUUCGAAGAGCCCUCGCUUCUUCACAUCCUCCCCAAACCCAUGCAACAAUCGGGGAGGUACGUGGUCCAAGUGCCUAGGGACUUGGUCCUCUACAUCCCGUCGAAGGGCAACACUAGUUGCGCAAAGGCUUACUUUCACACGAUAGACAUCGUGCCAUAGAGGGUGGUGUUUGUUAUCAACCCAAUUAUUUCAAUGGCCUCCCGCACGAUGGACACCACCCUCUUUGGCGUGACAUCAAGCACUAACCGAAGCUCAUCCACGUCAUCAUCGUCAUGCGGGAGGCCAAUGGAGUAGAGGGCAAGUGUCGUCAUAAAUGGGUCAGGGGAGGGCGGCAGAAUGCUUCUUGUGCAUGGUGGAGAGUUCUGAGUGAGAGCGGAUUCGGGGAGGGAGGGGGUGGACAAAGGCAUCCUCAACCACAGCAGGGUGAGAGAGGGAUUUGGAAAUUCUAGGACGCUGUUCCCAGGAGAAUGAGAUAGCGAAUGAGUGGGGGGAUGGAGAGCGACCACCACCAUACGCAUUAGCGCAGCUUUGGUGACGAUGAGGUCAACGAUGUGCUCCUUAUGGAGGCAGGUGGCGUCGUAGUGAGAACGAACCUUAUCAUUGUGGAGGCGAUCAGGCAAUUAUAUUAGCGUUGACACUAGUGACAAUGACGUCCAUUACCACUAACGUUGUCCACAUUCAAAUUAUCUUUUUAUUUUUUAUUUUUUAUUUUUUGAUAAAAUUGACUAACAAAAUUAUCUUUUUACUUUUUAUUUUUAUGAUUUCAUUAAUAAAAUCAACAAUGUUAGUAUAAAUAGAUCGGUUACUUUCGUAAUUAUAAGAAUAUUAAUAUAAAUUUUAAAAUAUAAGUAUCGAAAAAUUAAAAAUAAGUACCGAGAUAAUAUGCAAUUAACUCCAGUAGUCAGCCCCUCGAGUUACGGUGAGUCCGCAUCCAUGAACGAGUCGUUAGGGUUCCUUUUCGCGGCUCUCCUCGCCCGGUUCCUUUCCUCCGUUUCUGCCUUCCCUCCCGCAACGCUUUUACCCAUCCCGUUCCAGGCUUUCUACUGUCUCUCCUCCACCCAGUUCCUUUCCUCAGUUUUACUGUCUCCGUUUCUCUCUUUCUCAAUCUCUCCAGGUAUCUGUGUCCCUACCCUUUGCUUUGGUCGCCGAAAUAUAUUGGGUUUUGGUGCUUUUCCUCAGCACAUCUGUCUUCCAUUGUGUUUUUUCUGUUUGGAUCAUCUAGGGUUAGGAAUAUAUGAUCUAAGGUGGUUGGUAGGUCGAGACUGUUUCCUGAGUUAUGCGAACUUCAUGGGCUGAUUCCGUUGCGAACGCCGAGAGCUCGGCGUGUGCGAUCGGUGCUUCUGUAAGCAUAAGCAACACUGGCAACACCAACGCCACUGCUGCUGUGGUCAUUGCCGCCCCUCGCCCUGCUCGCGCUGCCUACGUCCUUCCAACGGUGUGCAGUCUUCCGAACUCCCAGCGCCAGCCCCUGUCUAUGGUCCUUCUGCAGCUAAAUUACCAUCUGGGCCUAGAGCGCCUUCUGGAGGAGACCGAGGGGGUGGCGGCUCUACUCGAGAUGCAGCACGCCCUGGCUUUGCUGGCGGCCUGGGUGGAGGAGGUGGUUGGGGCUCAAGGAUCGUUGGGUGGGAUCGGAGGAAGCGUGAGAAGAACCCUUUCGCAGAUGAUGAAGAAACCACUGAAGUCGCGUUUGAUGGUCAGGAGACUACUGGCAUAAAUUUUAAUCCAUAUGAAGGCAUACCUAUGGUGGUGAGCGGUGAGACUGUGACUCCGCCGGUGAGCACAUUUGCUGAGAUUGAUUUGGGGGAUGAAAACACACCUGUGGAGGUGAGCCAUGUUAUUCCCAUCUUGCUAGCUGGACGAGACCUGAUGGUCUGUGCUCAGACUGGGUCAGGAAAGGCAGCAGCUUUCUGCUUUCCAAAUUAUUAGUGGGAUCAUAAGGGGACCACCUUCACAGUGGCAGCGGGGCUCGAGGGCAGUGUAUCCUCCUGCGCUUAUCUUGUCACCUACCCGUGAGCUCUCGGUUCAAGUAUGCAUUCUUUUUUUUCUUGAACCUUGUUUGGAAUGUGUUAACAGUUUAUUUAGUUAACGAUUGUUACAGAAUUUGUUUUUUGGGUAUGAGAUUACUUAUUGCAUUAUUAAUAAUUGAUCUUUUCAUUUAACUUUUUUCCUCGGAUCAAUUGAUUUCAGAAGUUUUUACAGUUAUUAUGGAUAUUAUUUCAAUCGCAAUUGGUAUCUUCCUAUAAGGGUGUGUUUGUUUGCAUGUCUACAUAAUACUGUUUUCUUUUGAGAAAUUUCUUUCUGGUUUUUAUCCGAUAGGAAAACUAUAAAAAAUCAUGCAAAUUGUUUCUCAUAUUUUGAGGACAGGUUAACCUUUCUUUCAGAUUCUUUAUUUGAAAAAUGAGAAUAAAUCAUCUCCAAUUUCCAAGAAAAAGAAAAAAAAAAAGUUGCCCUGCAUUCGAAACACGACAAAGUAAAGGAAAGACAUCUUCAUUUUAUUUGCUUAUGGUCCAAGCAACUUACUUUGAUUUUUCAUGAUAGAGUUUUCACUAGAAAAUUUUAGUCACUAUCAAUGCUCAUCUUAAGCUCAGAUAAAAAAAGUGAAGGAUUGCAUUAGGUCACUAACAAUCAAAGUAAAAUAAUAUCAGAUCUUAUUAAUAGUCUUCAUUAUAAAAUUUCUUUUCUCCUUUUUCUUACAAAUAAAUAGAUUAUAGAAAAGGGAGCCAAAAUAUACAUGUAAUGCUAUAUUUUAUUUCUUUGGAUAGUCCAGAUGUUGAUAAUUUACAAGAUAGAACCACUUUCCUAAAGUCUGACUGGCCAGUCGCAAAAAUUAUCCUGAAGUUGUUGAAGCACAAGAAGAAGAGCAAAAGACAAUUGAUCAAAAGAGAAGUUGGUAAACUUUUGCAUUAUUAAUUUGGAUUAUCUGUUAGGUCUUUUUAACACCCAUCAUCCAUCUAAAAAGUCUUAGUCAAAUCAUCAACUUCUUGUACUUCUUUAUCUGUUGUUCUCUACCAUUUAUUAUUGCAUUAAUUUCUUCAAAAUAAAUUAAUGAUACUGUAUAUGAGCUUUAUAUGUAGAUUUCCUUGUAUGCAACUAAUAUAACUUAUUCUGUGUUGGUUUCUGUUAUUGACAUCUUAGAUACAUGAGGAGGCUAGGAAGUUCUCCUACCAGACUUGUGGAUCCCCAAUCAAUUAGCAGGUUCUUCUUUUCUCAUUUUUAGUUCAUUUGACUUUGAAUCCCCUAUUCCUAACGAAUGCCUUUUGUGGAAGCCCGUUGUUUUUUCUGUGUUAUUUUAUGCAAAGUUUAGUAAUUCUAAAUGAUAUGUUUUCUAUAUUUUUCAUGUCCCCAUCUAAAUGUUGAAGAAAUUUAAUACAUUAAGAAACUAUAUCUUUUUGUAGGUCUAGCUAAUUUUUGNNNNNNNNNNNNNNNNNNNNNNNNNNNNNNNNNNNNNNNNNNNNNNNNNNNNNNNNNNNNAAUAGAUUUUUAUUGUCUAAGGUGAUUAUAGGCAAAUAUAACAAAAAUGACAAGAUGCCUGGAUUUUAAAUAAUCAUAUUAUAUUUUAUUACACAUAUAUAUAAAAAAAAAAAGAUAAGCAUUCACAAAGGCUUUAAGUCUUUUAUCAUGUCUUAAUAUUAUGUCAGUCUUAAUACCAAUUCCCACAACUUAGUCUAAUGGGAUACUGUUAAUUUUGUUGAGCCGUGUAAGUUUAUACUAGUCCAAAAUGCUUAAGUCCCAAGUUAACAUUAAGACAUUCAUUAUCCUUUAUAAGUUUAUCUUGAUCUUUAUCUACUAUUACUAUUAAUGUUGGACUUAAUCUAGGUGUUAUAAACUUCUUGUUAAAGCUUUUAAAUAAGAACAUUCCAAAUUAUUAGAUUUUCUUUUUUCCCUCGACUUUGUCUUGGAGCUCGUGCUCUUCAAAUCAUGGUGCUACUCGGAAUUUUCACUUGCCCAUCACGUUGCGAUUUUCACUUGCUGAUCUUUGCAACUGUCUUCAACGCUUGCUACUACCGUUGGAAGCAUGCAACAUUCCACGUGACACUCUUAUUUUGCCAUGCAAUAAUUUCUAAUUGGACUGAAAACAACUAUUUAUAUCCUUUUUCCAGUCAGUUUACCAUGAUGAAAAUUUUGGGGGUGAUAAGAACUUUUUUUCACUGUAGACACUAGUUGCGAAGGAGGAUAAACAAUUGGAUUGAUCGGAGAUUGUCACUGCCAGUUUGUGAGUGACUACACAGCAUGCUGCAUGCAUUCCACUAUAGGAGCAACAGUGGAAAACAAUGACAAAUGGUUACCUCAGGAAGCUUGCCAUGUUGCACGACACAAAAAAACCCAUCAUAUAGUGAUUUGAGGAGCGCGAAUCCCCAGGUAAAAAGUAAUGACAAUAUGAUAAUUUGGUUGUUUCCUAUUUAAACCUCUAACAAUCACUUUAAAGACAUAAAUUACCAAAAAAUAAUAACUUAUAGCAAAUAAACAUAUAAAUGGCAAAAUAAAUGUUGCAGUUGGUAUAUUUAUUGUGCACUCAAUUAGGUGUUUUUUAAAAGAAUCCUAUUUAGUAAAACAAAUAUUCAUCUUAAAUGAAUAAAAUAAAUUAAUUUUAAAUUAUUAUUAUUUAUCCGGACUUCAACAAUUCACAUGCCCCUCCUGUUAUUGACUUGUUAGAUGAAUCAAUUGCUCGCAGGCCUAUGUACUCAUGCCCCCUUCUGUUAUUGACUUAUUACAUGGUGCCUAUAUUUACAAAGGCCUAUGUCUUUGUAAAUAUACCCUAGAUAGUAGAAUUUAUAGAUUCUUUAUAGUAAGCUCUGAAAUUUCUGAAAUGACACCUUGAUUGAAUCUAAAUAUGCAUGAUUCUUUAAAAAUAUCUUUCUUUUUAAAUUGUCCAGUGACUUCUCAAAUGAUUCUUCUUCAUUUAUUCUGACUCCUUUAUAACCCAUCAUUCAAACUGAACCCACUUUUUAAUUUUGUCUUAGUCCUUGAUGCGGUUGAGUCUGAUUGGUCAAGUACUUAUCUGACAACAAUUCCAUGUGUGGGUACCAUAGUUUAGCAAGAAAAUAUAGCCAACAACAGAUUUGCUGUAAAAUCUACAAGCAUCAUCAUCUGAUAAAAUCAAACUGUAGGUGGAACUACUACUCGGCUAAUUUGUAUUGCAACUUCUAACUCUGGAUUUCCAGUUCAUAUUGUGAUGUGCAUUUGUUAGUGAUUCAUGUCAACCUUAAAUUUGUGGUGGAUGAGAUAAUUGUUCUGCCUUCUAUAUUAGUUACAAUUUUAAGCAAUAUAAUUGAUUGAGUGAAGUAAUUUUCUUUUCUCAACUGAAAAAUGCUGCUUCUCCUUUUAAGAGUCAUUCGUCAAUCAUUUGUUGUUUAAAAUAGUUCUUGUAACAGUAUUGUUAUAUUAUUCUGUUGCUUGUGACAUUGACAGGAACGGGAACGAGCACUCAGAUCCUUCCAGAGUGGUGCUACUCCAAUUCUAGUUGGUGGUCAUAGUUUUCAUAGUGAUUCCUCUAUCAGGAGCAGUCGAGACGGUGACUAUUGACCUUGAUAUUAAAUGUCACGAUCCGAGUUUGAUGGACUAACCGACGUAUAACUCCGUUUGAUCUAAAUCACUGAUUAAAAUAUUUAAACCAGAGUUAUCGUACAUAAUACAUUCAUCAGAUUCUUACAAGUCAAUAUUUUUACUCACUUACGACGUGAGUUAUAAUUUUGAUAAUAUUACAUACAUGAAGGUAUUAAGAUAGUUAUCUUGUCUGUGUUCUUCAACCUGUGUUAUACCCUACUUUUUGAGAGCAUCAAACAUGAUUGAUUGUUAAUAUGGCCAACUGCAAUGAUUCAGGCAGCCUCAUUUUCAGUUCAUUUGCUUUAGUUUCCAUUCUUCUAGGGUUUAAGUUGGCGAUCGUAGAAUAUUCAAUGAGGCUUAGAAAAUCCUUUUUGGGUUGUUUGUUUGGUUUAAAUGGUGGGAAAGUUGAUGGGUGAUAUGUUUCUCAUUUUUAUGCAAACCAUUUGGGUCCUAAAUUUCUGACGUACUCAAAACAGUUGUUGGGAAAGGGGAAAAGGUGGCUUGCAUGCUAAGUCCUUGUCAGAACCAGAUAUGUUGAUUAUGGAAUAUGAACAAAAUGAUGAAUUGAUUAUACUUUUAGUUUGCCAACCCGAUGGACCAUAAUGAUUCUGAUAAGCUGUAGUCUUGCCUAUUUGUCUCCUGUGUGCUUAUCAAAAGAAUAAUACUAUAAUUAAGAUUUUUUAGGGACAAAUUAAUAAUGUGUUGCAUGUUUGAAUUGCUCAGCUAGUAUCAUACGCACAAACCUGAUGAUGAUGGGGUUCUUGCGAGCUCUGUAAUGUUAUCUUCCCUCAAGAUUGUUUACAGGAUGGAGACAUGCAUGCUGUAUGACUUGAUCCAUUAGAUUUGUGAUUAUUUACUUGGUUAAAUGGUAUGAGCUUUUUUUUUAUUUAUUCAUACGUAUCAAAUCGAUUAAUGAGUCCUCUAAUUUGACUUAAAGAAUAUUAAGAUAAUAAUGAUAUUCGAGUCUUUCUCUUAUAUUCAUUCACAAAAUUUAUUAAAGAUUUUUUUCUCUCCCAAUUUAUUAACCUAAUAUAUUCAUCCCUAUAUCCACAUAUAGCCAAUAUUUCAAUUUAUUACAAUUAUAACCAUGAUAGGAGUAUUUUAGAUGCUAUUUGCCUGAUUGGCAUGACAAAACCCACCGCGUUCACAUCGAGGUGCAAACCGUAUACGUCGCUGCUAAUAAUAUCCACAGCUCCACGCCAUGUCCACAAAUCCAUAACAACCAACGUCUUCCCUCUUCUACUAUUAGAACAUGACAACACUUCAAAGGAUAUGAUUCGAGAAGCAACCCCCAUCUUGUGCUCCCUAAAGACUGCGCAAACAUCUCUCUACUUCCCCCAUCGAUCGAGCCAAACGGGAGGAAAAGAAUAGAACGAUGACGACGACGACGGACAUGUCGAAGCUCCAGCGAUCGGCGAUGUCGUUCCGAAGACAAGGGUCGUCGGGUCGGAUAUGGAAUGACCCGAUGCGUGGAGUGGAGCUCAACGGCGCGGCCGUGCCGGUGCCUGAGCCCGUGACUUCGAUCCCCGAGCUCAAGGCCGAUGCCGCGGUGGCCGUCCCGCCUCAGGUUCCACCGGUGAAGAAGAAAAAGCGGUGGCGCCCCUGGUCGGUGGGUUUCUGUCUCUGCGCGAGACCCACUCCCGCCAACGCAUAGAACGUGUUUGAUGAAAUGACAUGGUGUUGCCGUAGCCAGUGCUCGGCGACCAGACCACUCCUGCGCUCCGUUAGGUUCAUCCUUCUCGGUAAACGUUAUUUUGAGUUUAGUUUGACCAAUGUUGUAGAUGGAAAUGGGAACGAAAAGCUUAAGAGGAAUAGAAGGGAUUACAUCAUACAUUUAUACCACAUGAUGCAUAAUUUUGCAGCAACAUAUUGACUCUUUGUGAUGACUUUUUUUCUGUAUAAUUUUAUAUAAAUUU